UCCUCACGGUUCAAAAGUUAUGGGGUUUUCAAGUUUAGACUCGUUUUAGGCAAAAAAAAAAUUAAAAAAUAAAAGGGUUGCAACACGAGGACUUCCCGGGAGGUCACCCAUCCUAGUACUACUCUCGCCCAAGCACGCUUAACUGCGGAGUUCUGAUGGGAUCCGGUGCAUUAGUGCUGGUAUGAUCGCACCCGUCAGUACAUCACUCUCGUUUCUAUAUAUCCUUUUCGCGGCCAAUCCAAGUGUAAGCCGUGGGGGCGCAUGAUUUUUCUUGCCGUUUGUUUCGAGCGAAAAAGUGCAUCGAGUAACGGCGUUAAGAAAGCAUCAAAAACACCUUGAGAAUCCGCUUUCGAUCUUUUUACGUGCCAUAACUUUCCGCAGCCCGUUUGAGGGUCAAAACGGCUGAAUUUGAGCCCGAAAAUUGCGCCCCCUAUUCACCGCCCAUUAUGGUUUCUGGGGCUUUCCGAAAUGGUGCUAUGGGCGACGUAGUUCCUCACGGUUCAAAAGUUAUGAGGUUUUCAAGUUUAGACUCGUUUUAAGCUAAAAAAAAUUAAAAAAUAAAAAGGGGUGCAACACGAGGACUUCCCGGGAGGUCACCCAUCCUAGUACUACUCUCGCCCAAGCACGCUUAACUGCGGAGUUCUGAUGGGAUCCGGUGCAUUAGUGCUGGUAUGAGCACCCCUUCUAGUACAUCUCUCUCGUUUCUAUAUAUCCUUUUCGCGGCCAUCCAAGUGUAAGGCCGUGGGGCGCGCAUGAUUUUUCUUGCCGUUUUUGUUUCGAGCGAAAAGUGCAUCGAGGUUAACGGCGUUAAGAAGCAUCAAAAACACCUUGAGAAUCCGCUUUCGAUCUUUUUUACGUGCCAUAACUUUCCGCAGCCCGUUUGAGGGUCAAAACGGCUGAAUUUGAGCCCGAAAAAUUGCGCCCCUAUUCACCCGCCUCACCGCCCAUUAUGGUUUCUGGGGCUUCCGAAAUGGUGCUAUGGGCGACGUAGUUCCUCACGGUUCAAAUUUAUGAGGUUUUCAAGUUUAGACUCGUUUUUAGGCUAAAAAAAAAUUAAAAAAUAAAAGGGUGCACACGAGGACUUCCCGGGAGGUCACCCAUCCUAGUACUACUCUCGGCCGCCAAGCACGCUUAACUGCGGAGUUCUGUGGAUCCGGUGCAUUAGUGCUGGUAUGAUCGCACCCGUCAGUACAUCACUCUCGUUUCUAUAUAUCCUUUUCGCGGCCAAUCCAAGUGUAAGGCCGUGGGCCGCAUGAUUUUCUUGCCGUUUUGUUUCGAGCGAAAAGUGCAUCGAGGUUACGGCGUUAAGAAAGCAUCAAAAAAACCCUUGAGAAUCCGCUUUCGAUCUUUUUUACGUGCCAUAACUUUCCGCAGGCCCGUUUGAGGGUCAAAACGGCUGAAUUUGAGCCCGAAAAAUUGCGCCCCCUAUUCACCCCGCCCAUUAUGGUUUCUGGGGCUUUCCGAAAUGGUGCUAUGGGCGACGUAGUUCCUCCACGGUUCAAAAGUUAUGAGGUUUUCAAGUUUAGACUCGUUUUAGGCUAAAAAAAAAUUAAAAAAAUAAAGGGGUGCAACACGAGGACUUCCCGGAGGUCACCCAUCCUAGUACUACUCUCGCCCAAGCACGCUUAACUGCGCGGAGUUCUGAUGGGAUCCGGUGCAUUAGUGCUGGUAUGAUCGCACCCGUCAGUACAUCACUCUCGUUUCUAUAUAUCCUUUUCGCGGCCAAUCCAAGUGUAAGGCCGUGGGGCGCGCAUGAUUUUCUUGCCGUUUUGUUUCGAGCGAAAAAGUGCAUCGAGGUUAACGGCGUUAAGAAAGCAUCAAAAACACCUUGAGAAUCCGCUUUCGAUCUUUUUUACGUGCCAUAACUUUCCGCAGCCCGUUUGAGGGUCAAAACGGCUGAAUUUGAGCCCGAAAAAUUGCGCCCCCUAUUCACCGCCCAUUAUGGUUUCUGGGGCUUUCCGAAAUGGUGCUAUGGGCGACGUAGUUCCUCACGGUUCAAAAGUUAUGAGGUUUUCAAGUUUAGACUCGUUUUAGGCUAAAAAAAAAUUAAAAAAUAAAAAGGGGUGCAACACGAGGACUUCCCGGGAGGUCACCCAUCCUAGUACUACUCUCGCCCAAGCACGCUUAACUGCGGAGUUCUGAUGGGAUCCGGUGCAUUAGUGCUGGUAUGAUCGCACCCGUCAGUACAUCACUCUCGUUUCUAUAUAUCCUUUUCGCGGCCAAUCCAAGUGUAAGGCCGUGGGGCGCGCAUGAUUUUCUUGCCGUUUUGUUUCGAGCGAAAAAGUGCAUCGAGGUUAACGGCGUUAAGAAAGCAUCAAAAACACCUUGAGAAUCCGCUUUCGAUCUUUUUUACGUGCCAUAACUUUCCGCAGCCCGUUUGAGGGUCAAAACGGCUGAAUUUGAGCCCGAAAAAUUGCGCCCCCUAUUCACCGCCCAUUAUGGUUUCUGGGGCUUUCCGAAAUGGUGCUAUGGGCGACGUAGUUCCUCACGGUUCAAAAGUUAUGAGGUUUUCAAGUUUAGACUCGUUUUAGGCUAAAAAAAAAAUUAAAAAAUAAAAAGGGGUGCAACACGAGGACUUCCCGGGAGGUCACCCAUCCUAGUACUACUCUCUCGCCCAAGCACGCUUAACUGCGGAGUUCUGAUGGGAUCCGGUGCAUUAGUGCUGGUAUGAUCGCACCCGUCAGUACAUCACUCUCGUUUCUAUAUAUCCUUUUCGCGCCAAUCCAAGUGUAAGGCCGUGGGCGCGCAUGAUUUUCUUGCCGUUUUGUUUCGAGCGAAAAAGUGCAUCGAGGUUAACGGCGUUAAGAAAGCAUCAAAAACACCUUGAGAAUCCGCUUUCGAUCUUUUUUACGUGCCAUAACUUUCCGCAGCCCGUUUGAGGGUCAAAACGGCUGAAUUUGAGCCCGAAAAAUUGCGCCCCCUAUUCACCGCCCAUUAUGGUUUCUGGGGCUUCCGAAAUGGUGCUAUGGGCGACGUAGUUCCUCACGGUUCAAAGGUUAUGAGGUUUUCAAGUUUAGACUCGUUUUAGGCUAAAAAAAAUUAAAAAAUAAAAAGGGGUGCAACACGAGGACUUCCCGGGAGGUCACCCAUCCUAGUACUACUCUCGCCCAAGCACGCUUACUGCGGAGUUCUGAUGGGAUCCGGUGCAUUAGUGCUGGUAUGAUCGCACCCGUCAGUACAUCACUCUCGUUUCUAUAUAUCCUUUUCGCGGCCAAUCCAAGUGUAAGGCCGUGGGGCGCGCAUGAUUUUCUUGCCGUUUUGUUUCGAGCGAAAAAGUGCAUCGAGGUUAACGGCGUUAAAAGCAUCAAAAACACCUUGAGAAUCCGCUUUCGAUCUUUUUUACGUGCCAUAACUUUCCGCAGCCCGUUUGAGGGUCAAAACGGCUGAAUUUGAGCCCGAAAAAUUGCGCCCCCUAUUCACCGCCCAUUAUGGUUUCUGGGGCUCUCCGAAAUGGUGCUAUGGGCGACGUAGUUCCUCACGGUUCAAAAGUUAUGAGGUUUUCAAGUUUAGACUCGUUUUAGGCAAAAAAAAAAAUUAAAAAAUAAAAAGGGGUGCAACACGAGGACUUCCCGGGAGGUCACCCAUCCUAGUACUACUCUCGCCCAAGCACGCUUAACUGCGGAGUUCUGAUGGGAUCCGGUGCAUUAGUGCUGGUAUGAUCGCACCCGUCAGUACAUCACUCUCGUUUCUAUAUAUCCUUUUCGCGGCCAAUCCAAGUGUAAGGCCGUGGGGCGCGCAUGAUUUUCUUGCCGUUUUGUUUCGAGCGAAAAAGUGCAUCGAGGUUAACGGCGUUAAGAAAGCAUCAAAAACACCUUGAGAUCCGCUUUCGAUCUUUUUACGUGCCAUAACUUUCCGCAGCCCGUUUGAGGGUCAAAACGGCUGAAUUUGAGCCCGAAAAAUUGCGCCCCCUAUUCACCGCCCAUUAUGGUUUCUGGGGCUUUCCGAAAUGGUGCUAUGGGCGACGUAGUUCCUCACGGUUCAAAAGUUAUGGAGGUUUUCAAGUUUAGACUCGUUUUAGGCUAAAAAAAAUUAAAAAAUAAAAAGGGGUGCAACACGAGGACUUCCCGGGAGGUCACCCAUCCUAGUACUACUCUCUCUCGCCCAAGCACGCUUAACUGCGGAGUUCUGAUGGGAUCCGGUGCAUUAGUGCUGGUAUGAUCGCACCCGUCAGUACAUCACUCUCGUUUCUAUAUAUCCUUUUCGCGGCCAAUCCAAGUGUAAGGCCGUGGGGCGCGCAUGAUUUUCUUGCCGUUUUUUCGAGCGAAAAAGUGCAUCGAGGUUAACGGCGUUAAGAAAGCAUCAAAAACACCUUGAGAAUCCGCUUUCGAUCUUUUUUACGUGCCAUAACUUUCCGCAGCCCGUUUGAGGGUCAAAACGGCUGAAUUUGAGCCCGAAAAAUUGCGCCCCCUAUUCACCGCCCAUUAUGGUUUCUGGGGCUUUCCGAAAUGGUGCUAUGGGCGACGUAGUUCCUCACGGUUCAAAGUUAUGAGGUUUUCAAGUUUAGACUCGUUUUAGGCUAAAAAAAAAAUAAAAAAAUAAAAAGGGUGCAACACGAGGACUUCCCGGAGGUCACCCAUCCUAGUACUACUCUCGCCCAAGCACGCUUAACUGCGGAGUUCUGAUGGGAUCCGGUGCAUUAGUGCUGGUAUGAUCGCACCCGUCAGUACAUCACUCUCGUUUCUAUAUAUCCUUUUCGCGGCCAAUCCAAGUGUAAGGCCGUGGGGCGCGCAUGAUUUUCUUGCCGUUUUGUUUUCGAGCGAAAAAGUGCAUCGAGGUUAACGGCGUUAAGAAAGCAUCAAAAACACCUUGAGAAUCCGCUUUCGAUCUUUUUUACGUGCCAUAACUUUCCCUUUCCGCAGCCCGUUUGAGGGUCAAAACGGCUGAAUUUGAGCCCGAAAAAUUGCGCCCCCUAUUCACCGCCCAUUAUGGUUUCUGGGGCUUUCCGAAAUGGUGCUAUGGGCGACGUAGUUCCUCACGGUUCAAAAGUUAUGGGGUUUUCAAGUUUAGACUCGUUUUAGGCUAAAAAAAAAUUAAAAAAUAAAAGGGGUGCAACACGAGGACUUCCCGGGAGGUCACCCAUCCUAGUACUACUCUCGCCCAAGCACGCUUAACUGCGGAGUUCUGAUGGGAUCCGGUGCAUUAGUGCUGGUAUGAUCGCACCCGUCAGUACAUCACUCUCGUUUCUAUAUAUCCUUUUCGCGGCCAAUCCAAGUGUAAGGCCGUGGGGCGCGCAUGAUUUUCUUGCCGUUUUGUUUCGAGCGAAAAAGUGCAUCGAGGUUAACGGCGUUAAGAAAGCAUCAAAAACACCUUGAGAAUCCGCUUUCGAUCUUUUUUACGUGCCAUAACUUUCCGCAGCCCGUUUGAGGGUCAAAACGGCUGAAUUUGAGCCCGAAAAAUUGCGCCCCCUAUUCACCGCCCAUUAUGGUUUCUGGGGCUUUCCGAAAUGGUGCUAUGGGCGACGUAGUUCCUCACGGUUCAAAAGUUAUGAGGUUUUCAAGUUUAGACUCGUUUUAGGCUAAAAAAAAUUAAAAUAAAAAGGGGUGCAACACGAGGACUUCCCGGGAGGUCACCCAUCCUAGUACUACUCUCGCCCAAGCACGCUUAACUGCGGAGUUCUGAUGGGAUCCGGUGCAUUAGUGCUGGUAUGAUCGCACCCGUCAGUACAUCACUCUCGUUUCUAUAUAUCCUUUUCGCGGGCCAAUCCAAGUGUAAGGCCGUGGGGCGCGCAUGAUUUUCUUGCCGUUUUGUUUCGAGCGAAAAAGUGCAUCGAGGUUAACGGCGUUAAGAAAGCAUCAAAAACACCUUGAGAAUCCGCUUUCGAUCUUUUUUACGUGCCAUAACUUUCCGCAGCCCGUCUGAGGGUCAAAACGGCUGAAUUUGAGCCCGAAAAAUUGCGCCCCCUAUUCACCGCCCAUUAUGGUUUCUGGGGCUUUCCGAAAUGGUGCUAUGGGCGACGUAGUUCCUCACGGUUCAAAAGUUAUGAGGUUUUCAAGUUUAGACUCGUUUUAGGCUAAAAAAAAAUUAAAAUAAAAGGGGUGCAACACGAGGACUUCCCGGGAGGUCACCCAUCCUAGUACUACUCUCGCCCAAGCACGCUUAACUGCGGAGUUCUGAUGGGAUCCGGUGCAUUAGUGCUGGUAUGAUCGCACCCGUCAGUACAUCACUCUCGUUUCUAUAUAUCCUUUUCGCGGCCAAUCCAAGUGUAAGGCCGUGGGGCGCGCAUGAUUUUCUUGCCGUUUUGUUUCGAGCGAAAAAGUGCAUCGAGGUUAACGGCGUUAAGAAAGCAUCAAAAACACCUUGAGAAUCCGCUUUCGAUCUUUUUUACGUGCCAUAACUUUCCGCAGCCCGUUUGAGGGUCAAAACGGCUGAAUUUGAGCCCGAAAAAUUGCGCCCCCUAUUCACCGCCCAUUAUGGUUUCUGGGGCUUUCCGAAAUGGUGCUAUGGGCGACGUAGUUCCUCACGGUUCAAAAGUUAUGGGUUUUCACGUUUAGACUCGUUUUAGCUAAAAAAAAAUUAAAAAAAAAAGGGGGGCAACACGAGGACUUCCCGGGAGGUCACCCAUCCUAGUACUACUCUCGCCCAAGCACGCUUAACUGCGGAGUUCUGAUGGGAUCCGGUGCAUUAGUGCUGGUAUGAUCGCACCCGUCAGUACACUCACUCUCGUUUCUAUAUAUCCUUUCGCGGCCAAUCCAAGUGUAAGGCCGUGGGGCGCGCAUGAUUUUCUUGCCGUUUUGUUUCGAGCGAAAAAGUGCAUCGAGGUUAACGGCGUUAAGAAAGCAUCAAAAACACCUUGAGAAUCCGCUUUCGAUCUUUUUUACGUGCCAUAACUUUCCGCAGCCCGUUUGAGGGUCAAAACGGCUGAAUUUGAGCCCGAAAAAUUGCGCCCCCUAUUCACCGCCCAUUAUGGUUUCUGGGGCUUUCCGAAAUGGUGCUAUGGGCGACGUAGUUCCUCACGGUUCAAAAGUUAUGAGGUUUUCAAGUUUAGACUCGUUUUAGGCUAAAAAAAAUUAAAAAAUAAAAAGGGGUGCAACACGAGGACUUCCCGGGAGGUCACCCAUCCUAGUACUACUCUCGCCCAAGCACGCUUAACUGCGGAGUUCUGAUGGGAUCCGGUGCAUUAGUGCUGGUAUGAUCGCACCCGUCAGUACAUCACUCUCGUUUCUAUAUAUCCUUUUCGCGGCCAAUCCAAGUGUAAGGCCGUGGGGCGCGCAUGAUUUUCUUGCCGUUUUGUUUCGAGCGAAAAAGUGCAUCGAGGUUAACGGCGUUAAGAAAGCAUCAAAAACACCUUGAGAAUCCGCUUUCGAUCUUUUUUACGUGCCAUAACUUUCCGCAGCCCGUUUGAGGGUCAAAACGGCUGAAUUUGAGCCCGAAAAAUUGCGCCCCCUAUUCACCGCCCAUUAUGGUUUCUGGGGCUCUCCGAAAUGGUGCUAUGGGCGACGUAGUUCCUCACGGUUCAAAAGUUAUGAGGUUUUCAAGUUUAGACUCGUUUUAGGCUAAAAAAAAAUUAAAAAAUAAAAGGGGUGCAACACGAGGACUUCCCGGGAGGUCACCCAUCCUAGUACUACUCUCGCCCAAGCACGCUUAACUGCGGAGUUCUGAUGGGAUCCGGUGCAUUAGUGCUGGUAUGAUCGCACCCGUCAGUACAUCACUCUCGUUUCUAUAUAUCCUUUUCGCGGCCAAUCCAAGUGUAAGGCCGUGGGGCGCGCAUGAUUUUCUUGCCGUUUUUUUUCGAGCGAAAAAGUGCAUCGAGGUUAACGGCGUUAAGAAAGCAUCAAAAACACCUUGAGAAUCCGCUUUCGAUCUUUUUUACGUGCCAUAACUUUCCGCAGCCCGUUUGAGGGUCAAAACGGCUGAAUUUGAGCCCGAAAAAUUGCGCCCCCUAUUCACCGCCCAUUAUGGUUUCUGGGGCUCUCCGAAAUGGUGCUAUGGGCGACGUAGUUCCUCACGGUUCAAAAGUUAUGAGGUUUUCAAGUUUAGACUCGUUUUAGGCUAAAAAAAAAUUAAAAAAUAAAAGGGGUGCAACACGAGGACUUCCCGGGAGGUCACCCAUCCUAGUACUACUCUCGCCCAAGCACGCUUAACUGCGGAGUUCUGAUGGGAUCCGGUGCAUUAGUGCUGGUAUGAUCGCACCCGUCAGUACAUCACUCUCGUUUCUAUAUAUCCUUUUCGCGGCCAAUCCAAGUGUAAGGCCGUGGGGCGCGCAUGAUUUUCUUGCCGUUUUGUUUCGAGCGAAAAAGUGCAUCGAGGUUAACGGCGUUAAGAAAGCAUCAAAAACACCUUGAGAAUCCGCUUUCGAUCUUUUUUACGUGCCAUAACUUUCCGCAGCCCGUUUGAGGGUCAAAACGGCUGAAUUUGAGCCCGAAAAAUUGCGCCCCCUAUUCACCGCCCAUUAUGGUUUCUGGGGCUCUCCGAAAUGGUGCUAUGGGCGACGUAGUUCCUCACGGUUCAAAAGUUAUGAGGUUUUCAAGUUUAGACUCGUUUUAGGCUAAAAAAAAUUAAAAAAUAAAAAGGGGUGCAACACGAGGACUUCCCGGGAGGUCACCCAUCCUAGUACUACUCUCGCCCAAGCACGCUUAACUGCGGAGUUCUGAUGGGAUCCGGUGCAUUAGUGCUGGUAUGAUCGCACCCGUCAGUACAUCACUCUCGUUUCUAUAUAUCCUUUUCGCGGCCAAUCCAAGUGUAAGGCCGUGGGGCGCGCAUGAUUUUCUUGCCGUUUUGUUUCGAGCGAAAAAGUGCAUCGAGGUUAACGGCGUUAAGAAAGCAUCAAAAACACCUUGAGAAUCCGCUUUCGAUCUUUUUUACGUGCCAUAACUUUCCGCAGCCCGUUUGAGGGUCAAAACGGCUGAAUUUGAGCCCGAAAAAUUGCGCCCCCUAUUCACCGCCCAUUAUGGUUUCUGGGGCUCUCCGAAAUGGUGCUAUGGGCGACGUAGUUCCUCACGGUUCAAAAGUUAUGAGGUUUUCAAGUUUAGACUCGUUUUAGGCUAAAAAAAAUUAAAAAUAAAAAGGGGUGCAACACGAGGACUUCCCGGGCGGUCACCCAUCCUAGUACUACUCUCGCCCAAGCACGCUUAACUGCGGAGUUCUGAUGGGAUCCGGUGCAUUAGUGCUGGUAUGAUCGCACCCGUCAGUACAUCACUCUCGUUUCUAUAUAUCCUUUUCGCGGCCAAUCCAAGUGUAAGGCCGUGGGGCGCGCAUGAUUUUCUUGCCGUUUUGUUUCGAGCGAAAAAGUGCAUCGAGGUUAACGGCGUUAAGAAAGCAUCAAAAACACCUUGAGAAUCCGCUUUCGAUCUUUUUUACGUGACAUAACUUUCCGCAGCCCGUUUGAGGGUCAAAACGGCUGAAUUUGAGCCCGAAAAAUUGCGCCCCCUAUUCCCCGCCCAUUAUGGUUUCUGGGGCUCUCCGAAAUGGUGCUAUGGGCGACGUAGUUCCUCACGGUUCAAAAGUUAUGAGGUUUUCAAGUUUAGACUCGUUUUAGGCUAAAAAAAAUUAAAAAAAAAAGGGGUGCAACACGAGGACUUCCCGGGAGGUCACCCAUCCUAGUACUACUCUCGCCCAAGCACGCUUAACUGCGGAGUUCUGAUGGGAUCCGGUGCAUUAGUGCUGGUAUGAUCGCACACGACAGUACAUCACUCUCGUUUCUAUAUAUCCUUUUCGCGGCCAAUCCAAGUGUAAGGCCGUGGGGCGCGCAUGAUUUUCUUGCCGUUUUGUUUCGAGCGAAAAAGUGCAUCGAGGUUAACGGCGUUAAGAAAGCAUCAAAAACACCUUGAGAAUCCGCUUUCGAUCUUUUUUACGUGCCAUAACUUUCCGCAGCCCGUUUGAGGGUCAAAACGGCUGAAUUUGAGCCCGAAAAAUUGCGCCCCCUAUUCACCGCCCAUUAUGGUUUCUGGGGCUCUCCGAAAUGGUGCUAUGGGCGACGUAGUUCCUCACGGUUCAAAAGUUAUGAGGUUUUCAAGUUUAGACUCGUUUUAGGCUAAAAAAAAAUUAAAAAAUAAAAAGGGGUGCAACACGAGGACUUCCCGGGAGGUCACCCAUCCUAGUACUACUCUCGCCCAAGCACGCUUAACUGCGGAGUUCUGAUGGGAUCCGGUGCAUUAGUGCUGGUAUGAUCGCACCCGUCAGUACAUCACUCUCGUUUCUAUAUAUCCUUUUCGCGGCCAAUCCAAGUGUAAGGCCGUGGGGCGCGCAUGAUUUUCUUGCCGUUUUGUUUCGAGCGAAAAAGUGCAUCGAGGUUAACGGCGUUAAGAAAGCAUCAAAAACACCUUGAGAAUCCGCUUUCGAUCUUUUUUACGUGCCAUAACUUUCCGCAGCCCGUUUGAGGGUCAAAACGGCUGAAUUUGAGCCCGAAAAAUUGCGCCCCCUAUUCACCGCCCAUUAUGGUUUCUGGGGCUCUCCGAAAUGGUGCUAUGGGCGACGUAGUUCCUCACGGUUCAAAAGUUAUGAGGUUUUCAAGUUUAGACUCGUUUUAGGCUAAAAAAAAUUAAAAAAUAAAAAGGGGUGCAACACGAGGACUUCCCGGGAGGUCACCCAUCCUAGUACUACUCUCCGCCCAAGCACGCUUAACUGCGGAGUUCUGAUGGGAUCCGGUGCAUUAGUGCUGGUAUGAUCGCACCCGUCAGUACAUCACUCUCGUUUCUAUAUAUCCUUUUCGCGGCCAAUCCAAGUGUAAGGCCGUGGGGCGCGCAUGAUUUUCUUGCCGUUUUGUUUCGAGCGAAAAAGUGCAUCGAGGUUAACGGCGUUAAGAAAGCAUCAAAAACACCUUGAGAAUCCGCUUUCGAUCUUUUUUACGUGCCAUAACUUUCCGCAGCCCGUUUGAGGGUCAAAACGGCUGAAUUUGAGCCCGAAAAAUUGCGCCCCCUAUUCACCGCCCAUUAUGGUUUCUGGGGCUCUCCGAAAUGGUGCUAUGGGCGACGUAGUUCCUCACGGUUCAAAAGUUAUGAGGUUUUCAAGUUUAGACUCGUUUUAGGCUAAAAAAAAAUUAAAAAAUAAAAAGGGGUGCAACACGAGGACUUCCCGGGAGGUCACCCAUCCUAGUACUACUCUCGCCCAAGCACGCUUAACUGCGGAGUUCUGAUGGGAUCCGGUGCAUUAGUGCUGGUAUGAUCGCACCCGUCAGUACAUCACUCUCGUUUCUAUAUAUCCUUUUCGCGGCCAAUCCAAGUGUAAGGCCGUGGGGCGCGCAUGAUUUUCUUGCCGUUUUGUUUCGAGCGAAAAAGUGCAUCGAGGUUAACGGCGUUAAGAAAGCAUCAAAAACACCUUGAGAAUCCGCUUUCGAUCUUUUUUACGUGCCAUAACUUUCCGCAGCCCGUUUGAGGGUCAAAACGGCUGAAUUUGAGCCCGAAAAAUUGCGCCCCCUAUUCACCGCCCAUUAUGGUUUCUGGGGCUCUCCGAAAUGGUGCUAUGGGCGACGUAGUUCCUCACGGUUCAAAAGUUAUGAGGUUUUCAAGUUUAGACUCGUUUUAGGCUAAAAAAAAUUAAAAAAUAAAAAGGGGUGCAACACGAGGACUUCCCGGGAGGUCACCCAUCCUAGUACUACUCUCGCCCAAGCACGCUUAACUGCGGAGUUCUGAUGGGAUCCGGUGCAUUAGUGCUGGUAUGAUCGCACCCGUCAGUACAUCACUCUCGUUUCUAUAUAUCCUUUUCGCGGCCAAUCCAAGUGUAAGGCCGUGGGGCGCGCAUGAUUUUCUUGCCGUUUUGUUUCGAGCGAAAAAGUGCAUCGAGGUUAACGGCGUUAAGAAAGCAUCAAAAACACCUUGAGAAUCCGCUUUCGAUCUUUUUUACGUGCCAUAACUUUCCGCAGCCCGUUUGAGGGUCAAAACGGCUGAAUUUGAGCCCGAAAAAUUGCGCCCCCUAUUCACCGCCCAUUAUGGUUUCUGGGGCUUCCGAAAUGGUGCUAUGGGCGACGUAGUUCCUCACGGUUCAAAAGUUAUGAGGUUUUCAAGUUUAGACUCGUUUUAGGCUAAAAAAAAAUUAAAAAAUAAAAAGGGGUGCAACACGAGGACUUCCCGGGAGGUCACCCAUCCUAGUACUACUCUCGCCCAAGCACGCUUAACUGCGGAGUUCUGAUGGGAUCCGGUGCAUUAGUGCUGGUAUGAUCGCACCCGUCAGUACAUCACUCUCGUUUCUAUAUAUCCUUUUCGCGGCCAAUCCAAGUGUAAGGCCGUGGGGCGCGCAUGAUUUUCUUGCCGUUUUGUUUCGAGCGAAAAAGUGCAUCGAGGUUAACGGCGUUAAGAAAGCAUCAAAAACACCUUGAGAAUCCGCUUUCGAUCUUUUUUACGUGCCAUAACUUUCCGCAGCCCGUUUGAGGGUCAAAACGGCUGAAUUUGAGCCCGAAAAAUUGCGCCCCCUAUUCACCGCCCAUUAUGGUUUCUGGGGCUUUCCGAAAUGGUGCUAUGGGCGACGUAGUUCCUCACGGUUCAAAAGUUAUGAGGUUUUCAAGUUUAGACUCGUUUUAGGCUAAAAAAAAUUAAAAAAUAAAAAGGGGUGCAACACGAGGACUUCCCGGGAGGUCACCCAUCCUAGUACUACUCUCGCCCAAGCACGCUUAACUGCGGAGUUCUGAUGGGAUCCGGUGCAUUAGUGCUGGUAUGAUCGCACCCGUCAGUACAUCACUCUCGUUUCUAUAUAUCCUUUUCGCGGCCAAUCCAAGUGUAAGGCCGUGGGGCGCGCAUGAUUUUCUUGCCGUUUUGUUUCGAGCGAAAAAGUGCAUCGAGGUUAACGGCGUUAAGAAAGCAUCAAAAACACCUUGAGAAUCCGCUUUCGAUCUUUUUUACGUGCCAUAACUUUCCGCAGCCCGUUUGAGGGUCAAAACGGCUGAAUUUGAGCCCGAAAAAUUGCGCCCCCUAUUCACCGCCCAUUAUGGUUUCUGGGGCUUUCCGAAAUGGUGCUAUGGGCGACGUAGUUCCUCACGGUUCAAAAGUUAUGAGGUUUUCAAGUUUAGACUCGUUUUAGGCUAAAAAAAAAUUAAAAAAUAAAAAGGGGUGCAACACGAGGACUUCCCGGGAGGUCACCCAUCCUAGUACUACUCUCGCCCAAGCACGCUUAACUGCGGAGUUCUGAUGGGAUCCGGUGCAUUAGUGCUGGUAUGAUCGCACCCGUCAGUACAUCACUCUCGUUUCUAUAUAUCCUUUUCGCGGCCAAUCCAAGUGUAAGGCCGUGGGGCGCGCAUGAUUUUCUUGCCGUUUUGUUUCGAGCGAAAAAGUGCAUCGAGGUUAACGGCGUUAAGAAAGCAUCAAAAACACCUUGAGAAUCCGCUUUCGAUCUUUUUUACGUGCCAUAACUUUCCGCAGCCCGUUUGAGGGUCAAAACGGCUGAAUUUGAGCCCGAAAAAUUGCGCCCCCUAUUCACCGCCCAUUAUGGUUUCUGGGGCUUCCGAAAUGGUGCUAUGGGCGACGUAGUUCCUCACGGUUCAAAAGUUAUGAGGUUUUCAAGUUUAGACUCGUUUUAGGCUAAAAAAAAAUUAAAAAAUAAAAAGGGGUGCAACACGAGGACUUCCCGGGAGGUCACCCAUCCUAGUACUACUCUCGCCCAAGCACGCUUAACUGCGGAGUUCUGAUGGGAUCCGGUGCAUUAGUGCUGGUAUGAUCGCACCCGUCAGUACAUCACUCUCGUUUCUAUAUAUCCUUUUCGCGGCCAAUCCAAGUGUAAGGCCGUGGGGCGCGCAUGAUUUUCUUGCCGUUUUGUUUCGAGCGAAAAAGUGCAUCGAGGUUAACGGCGUUAAGAAAGCAUCAAAAACACCUUGAGAAUCCGCUUUCGAUCUUUUUUACGUGCCAUAACUUUCCGCAGCCCGUUUGAGGGUCAAAACGGCUGAAUUUGAGCCCGAAAAAUUGCGCCCCCUAUUCACCGCCCAUUAUGGUUUCUGGGGCUUUUCGAAAUGGUGCUAUGGGCGACGUAGUUCCUCACGGUUCAAAAGUUAUGAGGUUUUCAAGUUUAGACUCGUUUUAGGCUAAAAAAAAAUUAAAAAAUAAAAAGGGGUGCAACACGAGGACUUCCCGGGAGGUCACCCAUCCUAGUACUACUCUCGCCCAAGCACGCUUAACUGCGGAGUUCUGAUGGGAUCCGGUGCAUUAGUGCUGGUAUGAUCGCACCCGUCAGUACAUCACUCUCGUUUCUAUAUAUCCUUUUCGCGGCCAAUCCAAGUGUAAGGCCGUGGGGCGCGCAUGAUUUUCUUGCCGUUUUGUUUCGAGCGAAAAAGUGCAUCGAGGUUAACGGCGUUAAGAAAGCAUCAAAAACACCUUGAGAAUCCGCUUUCGAUCUUUUUUACGUGCCAUAACUUUCCGCAGCCCGUUUGAGGGUCAAAACGGCUGAAUUUGAGCCCGAAAAAUUGCGCCCCCUAUUCACCGCCCAUUAUGGUUUCUGGGGCUCUCCGAAAUGGUGCUAUGGGCGACGUAGUUCCUCACGGUUCAAAAGUUAUGAGGUUUUCAAGUUUAGACUCGUUUUAGGCUAAAAAAAAAUUAAAAAAUAAAAAGGGGUGCAACACGAGGACUUCCCGGGAGGUCACCCAUCCUAGUACUACUCUCGCCCAAGCACGCUUAACUGCGGAGUUCUGAUGGGAUCCGGUGCAUUAGUGCUGGUAUGAUCGCACCCGUCAGUACAUCACUCUCGUUUCUAUAUAUCCUUUUCGCGGCCAAUCCAAGUGUAAGGCCGUGGGGCGCGCAUGAUUUUCUUGCCGUUUUGUUUCGAGCGAAAAAGUGCAUCGAGGUUAACGGCGUUAAGAAAGCAUCAAAAACACCUUGAGAAUCCGCUUUCGAUCUUUUUUACGUGCCAUAACUUUCCGCAGCCCGUUUGAGGGUCAAAACGGCUGAAUUUGAGCCCGAAAAAUUGCGCCCCCUAUUCACCGCCCAUUAUGGUUUCUGGGGCUUCCGAAAUGGUGCUAUGGGCGACGUAGUUCCUCACGGUUCAAAAGUUAUGAGGUUUUCAAGUUUAGACUCGUUUUAGGCUAAAAAAAAAUUAAAAAAUAAAAAGGGGUGCAACACGAGGACUUCCCGGGAGGUCACCCAUCCUAGUACUACUCUCGCCCAAGCACGCUUAACUGCGGAGUUCUGAUGGGAUCCGGUGCAUUAGUGCUGGUAUGAUCGCACCCGUCAGUACAUCACUCUCGUUUCUAUAUAUCCUUUUCGCGGCCAAUCCAAGUGUAAGGCCGUGGGGCGCGCAUGAUUUUCUUGCCGUUUUGUUUCGAGCGAAAAAGUGCAUCGAGGUUAACGGCGUUAAGAAAGCAUCAAAAACACCUUGAGAAUCCGCUUUCGAUCUUUUUUACGUGCCAUAACUUUCCGCAGCCCGUUUGAGGGUCAAAACGGCUGAAUUUGAGCCCGAAAAAUUGCGCCCCCUAUUCACCGCCCAUUAUGGUUUCUGGGGCUUUCCGAAAUGGUGCUAUGGGCGACGUAGUUCCUCACGGUUCAAAAGUUAUGAGGUUUUCAAGUUUAGACUCGUUUUAGGCUAAAAAAAAAUUAAAAAAUAAAAAGGGGUGCAACACGAGGACUUCCCGGGAGGUCACCCAUCCUAGUACUACUCUCGCCCAAGCACGCUUAACUGCGGAGUUCUGAUGGGAUCCGGUGCAUUAGUGCUGGUAUGAUCGCACCCGACAGUACAUCACUCUCGUUUCUAUAUAUCCUUUUCGCGGCCAAUCCAAGUGUAAGGCCGUGGGGCGCGCAUGAUUUUCUUGCCGUUUUGUUUCGAGCGAAAAAGUGCAUCGAGGUUAACGGCGUUAAGAAAGCAUCAAAAACACCUUGAGAAUCCGCUUUCGAUCUUUUUUACGUGCCAUAACUUUCCGCAGCCCGUUUGAGGGUCAAAACGGCUGAAUUUGAGCCCGAAAAAUUGCGCCCCCUAUUCACCGCCCAUUAUGGUUUCUGGGGCUUUCCGAAAUGGUGCUAUGGGCGACGUAGUUCCUCACGGUUCAAAAGUUAUGAGGUUUUCAAGUUUAGACUCGUUUUAGGCUAAAAAAAAUAAAAAAAAUAAAAAGGGGUGCAACACGAGGACUUCCCGGGAGGUCACCCAUCCUAGUACUACUCUCGCCCAAGCACGCUUAACUGCGGAGUUCUGAUGGGAUCCGGUGCAUUAGUGCUGGUAUGAUCGCACCCGACAGUACAUCACUCUCGUUUCUAUAUAUCCUUUUCGCGGCCAAUCCAAGUGUAAGGCCGUGGGGCGCGCAUGAUUUUCUUGCCGUUUUGUUUCGAGCGAAAAAGUGCAUCGAGGUUAACGGCGUUAAGAAAGCAUCAAAAACACCUUGAGAAUCCGCUUUCGAUCUUUUUUACGUGCCAUAACUUUCCGCAGCCCGUUUGAGGGUCAAAACGGCUGAAUUUGAGCCCGAAAAAUUGCGCCCCCUAUUCACCGCCCAUUAUGGUUUCUGGGGCUUUCCGAAAUGGUGCUAUGGGCGACGUAGUUCCUCACGGUUCAAAAGUUAUGAGGUUUUCAAGUUUAGACUCGUUUUAGGCUAAAAAAAAUUAAAAAAUAAAAAGGGGUGCAACACGAGGACUUCCCGGGAGGUCACCCAUCCUAGUACUACUCUCGCCCAAGCACGCUUAACUGCGGAGUUCUGAUGGGAUCCGGUGCAUUAGUGCUGGUAUGAUCGCACCCGACAGUACAUCACUCUCGUUUCUAUAUAUCCUUUUCGCGGCCAAUCCAAGUGUAAGGCCGUGGGGCGCGCAUGAUUUUCUUGCCGUUUUGUUUCGAGCGAAAAAGUGCAUCGAGGUUAACGGCGUUAAGAAAGCAUCAAAAACACCUUGAGAAUCCGCUUUCGAUCUUUUUUACGUGCCAUAACUUUCCGCAGCCCGUUUGAGGGUCAAAACGGCUGAAUUUGAGCCCGAAAAAUUGCGCCCCCUAUUCACCGCCCAUUAUGGUUUCUGGGGCUUUCCGAAAUGGUGCUAUGGGCGACGUAGUUCCUCACGGUUCAAAAGUUAUGGGUUUUCAAGUUUAGACUCGUUUUAGGCUAAAAAAAAAUUAAAAAAUAAAAAGGGGUGCAACACGAGGACUUCCCGGGAGGUCACCCAUCCUAGUACUACUCUCGCCCAAGCACGCUUAACUGCGGAGUUCUGAUGGGAUCCGGUGCAUUAGUGCUGGUAUGAUCGCACCCGACAGUACAUCACUCUCGUUUCUAUAUAUCCUUUUCGCGGCCAAUCCAAGUGUAAGGCCGUGGGGCGCGCAUGAUUUUCUUGCCGUUUUGUUUCGAGCGAAAAAGUGCAUCGAGGUUAACGGCGUUAAGAAAGCAUCAAAAACACCUUGAGAAUCCGCUUUCGAUCUUUUUUACGUGCCAUAACUUUCCGCAGCCCGUUUGAGGGUCAAAACGGCUGAAUUUGAGCCCGAAAAAUUGCGCCCCCUAUUCACCGCCCAUUAUGGUUUCUGGGGCUUUCCGAAAUGGUGCUAUGGGCGACGUAGUUCCUCACGGUUCAAAAGUUAUGGGUUUUCAAGUUUAGACUCGUUUUAGGCUAAAAAAAAAUUAAAAAAUAAAAAGGGGUGCAACACGAGGACUUCCCGGGAGGUCACCCAUCCUAGUACUACUCUCGCCCAAGCACGCUUAACUGCGGAGUUCUGAUGGGAUCCGGUGCAUUAGUGCUGGUAUGAUCGCACCCGACAGUACAUCACUCUCGUUUCUAUAUAUCCUUUUCGCGGCCAAUCCAAGUGUAAGGCCGUGGGGCGCGCAUGAUUUUCUUGCCGUUUUGUUUCGAGCGAAAAAGUGCAUCGAGGUUAACGGCGUUAAGAAAGCAUCAAAAACACCUUGAGAAUCCGCUUUCGAUCUUUUUUACGUGCCAUAACUUUCCGCAGCCCGUUUGAGGGUCAAAACGGCUGAAUUUGAGCCCGAAAAAUUGCGCCCCCUAUUCACCGCCCAUUAUGGUUUCUGGGGCUUUCCGAAAUGGUGCUAUGGGCGACGUAGUUCCUCACGGUUCAAAAGUUAUGGGGUUUUCAAGUUUAGACUCGUUUUAGGCUAAAAAAAAUUAAAAAAUAAAAAGGGGUGCAACACGAGGACUUCCCGGGAGGUCACCCAUCCUAGUACUACUCUCGCCCAAGCACGCUUAACUGCGGAGUUCUGAUGGGAUCCGGUGCAUUAGUGCUGGUAUGAUCGCACCCGACAGUACAUCACUCUCGUUUCUAUAUAUCCUUUUCGCGGCCAAUCCAAGUGUAAGGCCGUGGGGCGCGCAUGAUUUUCUUGCCGUUUUGUUUCGAGCGAAAAAGUGCAUCGAGGUUAACGGCGUUAAGAAAGCAUCAAAAACACCUUGAGAAUCCGCUUUCGAUCUUUUUUACGUGCCAUAACUUUCCGCAGCCCGUUUGAGGGUCAAAACGGCUGAAUUUGAGCCCGAAAAAUUGCGCCCCCUAUUCACCGCCCAUUAUGGUUUCUGGGGCUUUCCGAAAUGGUGCUAUGGGCGACGUAGUUCCUCACGGUUCAAAAGUUAUGGGGUUUUCAAGUUUAGACUCGUUUUAGGCUAAAAAAAAAUUAAAAAAUAAAAAGGGGUGCAACACGAGGACUUCCCGGGAGGUCACCCAUCCUAGUACUACUCUCGCCCAAGCACGCUUAACUGCGGAGUUCUGAUGGGAUCCGGUGCAUUAGUGCUGGUAUGAUCGCACCCGACAGUACAUCACUCUCGUUUCUAUAUAUCCUUUUCGCGGCCAAUCCAAGUGUAAGGCCGUGGGGCGCGCAUGAUUUUCUUGCCGUUUUGUUUCGAGCGAAAAAGUGCAUCGAGGUUAACGGCGUUAAGAAAGCAUCAAAAACACCUUGAGAAUCCGCUUUCGAUCUUUUUUACGUGCCAUAACUUUCCGCAGCCCGUUUGAGGGUCAAAACGGCUGAAUUUGAGCCCGAAAAAUUGCGCCCCCUAUUCACCGCCCAUUAUGGUUUCUGGGGCUUUCCGAAAUGGUGCUAUGGGCGACGUAGUUCCUCACGGUUCAAAAGUUAUGGGUUUUCAAGUUUAGACUCGUUUUAGGCUAAAAAAAAAUUAAAAAAUAAAAAGGGGUGCAACACGAGGACUUCCCGGGAGGUCACCCAUCCUAGUACUACUCUCGCCCAAGCACGCUUAACUGCGGAGUUCUGAUGGGAUCCGGUGCAUUAGUGCUGGUAUGAUCGCACCCGACAGUACAUCACUCUCGUUUCUAUAUAUCCUUUUCGCGGCCAAUCCAAGUGUAAGGCCGUGGGGCGCGCAUGAUUUUCUUGCCGUUUUGUUUCGAGCGAAAAAGUGCAUCGAGGUUAACGGCGUUAAGAAAGCAUCAAAAACACCUUGAGAAUCCGCUUUCGAUCUUUUUUACGUGCCAUAACUUUCCGCAGCCCGUUUGAGGGUCAAAACGGCUGAAUUUGAGCCCGAAAAAUUGCGCCCCCUAUUCACCGCCCAUUAUGGUUUCUGGGGCUUUCCGAAAUGGUGCUAUGGGCGACGUAGUUCCUCACGGUUCAAAAGUUAUGGGUUUUCAAGUUUAGACUCGUUUUAGGCUAAAAAAAAAUUAAAAAAUAAAAAGGGGUGCAACACGAGGACUUCCCGGGAGGUCACCCAUCCUAGUACUACUCUCGCCCAAGCACGCUUAACUGCGGAGUUCUGAUGGGAUCCGGUGCAUUAGUGCUGGUAUGAUCGCACCCGACAGUACAUCACUCUCGUUUCUAUAUAUCCUUUUCGCGGCCAAUCCAAGUGUAAGGCCGUGGGGCGCGCAUGAUUUUCUUGCCGUUUUGUUUCGAGCGAAAAAGUGCAUCGAGGUUAACGGCGUUAAGAAAGCAUCAAAAACACCUUGAGAAUCCGCUUUCGAUCUUUUUUACGUGCCAUAACUUUCCGCAGCCCGUUUGAGGGUCAAAACGGCUGAAUUUGAGCCCGAAAAAUUGCGCCCCCUAUUCACCGCCCAUUAUGGUUUCUGGGGCUUUCCGAAAUGGUGCUAUGGGCGACGUAGUUCCUCACGGUUCAAAAGUUAUGGGUUUUCAAGUUUAGACUCGUUUUAGGCUAAAAAAAAAUUAAAAAAUAAAAAGGGGUGCAACACGAGGACUUCCCGGGAGGUCACCCAUCCUAGUACUACUCUCGCCCAAGCACGCUUAACUGCGGAGUUCUGAUGGGAUCCGGUGCAUUAGUGCUGGUAUGAUCGCACCCGACAGUACAUCACUCUCGUUUCUAUAUAUCCUUUUCGCGGCCAAUCCAAGUGUAAGGCCGUGGGGCGCGCAUGAUUUUCUUGCCGUUUUGUUUCGAGCGAAAAAGUGCAUCGAGGUUAACGGCGUUAAGAAAGCAUCAAAAACACCUUGAGAAUCCGCUUUCGAUCUUUUUUACGUGCCAUAACUUUCCGCAGCCCGUUUGAGGGUCAAAACGGCUGAAUUUGAGCCCGAAAAAUUGCGCCCCCUAUUCACCGCCCAUUAUGGUUUCUGGGGCUUUCCGAAAUGGUGCUAUGGGCGACGUAGUUCCUCACGGUUCAAAAGUUAUGGGGUUUUCAAGUUUAGACUCGUUUUAGGCUAAAAAAAAAUUAAAAAAUAAAAAGGGGUGCAACACGAGGACUUCCCGGGAGGUCACCCAUCCUAGUACUACUCUCGCCCAAGCACGCUUAACUGCGGAGUUCUGAUGGGAUCCGGUGCAUUAGUGCUGGUAUGAUCGCACCCGACAGUACAUCACUCUCGUUUCUAUAUAUCCUUUUCGCGGCCAAUCCAAGUGUAAGGCCGUGGGGCGCGCAUGAUUUUCUUGCCGUUUUGUUUCGAGCGAAAAAGUGCAUCGAGGUUAACGGCGUUAAGAAAGCAUCAAAAACACCUUGAGAAUCCGCUUUCGAUCUUUUUUACGUGCCAUAACUUUCCGCAGCCCGUUUGAGGGUCAAAACGGCUGAAUUUGAGCCCGAAAAAUUGCGCCCCCUAUUCACCGCCCAUUAUGGUUUCUGGGGCUUUCCGAAAUGGUGCUAUGGGCGACGUAGUUCCUCACGGUUCAAAAGUUAUGGGUUUUCAAGUUUAGACUCGUUUUAGGCUAAAAAAAAAUUAAAAAAUAAAAAGGGGUGCAACACGAGGACUUCCCGGGAGGUCACCCAUCCUAGUACUACUCUCGCCCAAGCACGCUUAACUGCGGAGUUCUGAUGGGAUCCGGUGCAUUAGUGCUGGUAUGAUCGCACCCGACAGUACAUCACUCUCGUUUCUAUAUAUCCUUUUCGCGGCCAAUCCAAGUGUAAGGCCGUGGGGCGCGCAUGAUUUUCUUGCCGUUUUGUUUCGAGCGAAAAAGUGCAUCGAGGUUAACGGCGUUAAGAAAGCAUCAAAAACACCUUGAGAAUCCGCUUUCGAUCUUUUUUACGUGCCAUAACUUUCCGCAGCCCGUUUGAGGGUCAAAACGGCUGAAUUUGAGCCCGAAAAAUUGCGCCCCCUAUUCACCGCCCAUUAUGGUUUCUGGGGCUUUCCGAAAUGGUGCUAUGGGCGACGUAGUUCCUCACGGUUCAAAAGUUAUGGGGUUUUCAAGUUUAGACUCGUUUUAGGCUAAAAAAAAAUUAAAAAAUAAAAAGGGGUGCAACACGAGGACUUCCCGGGAGGUCACCCAUCCUAGUACUACUCUCGCCCAAGCACGCUUAACUGCGGAGUUCUGAUGGGAUCCGGUGCAUUAGUGCUGGUAUGAUCGCACCCGACAGUACAUCACUCUCGUUUCUAUAUAUCCUUUUCGCGGCCAAUCCAAGUGUAAGGCCGUGGGGCGCGCAUGAUUUUCUUGCCGUUUUGUUUCGAGCGAAAAAGUGCAUCGAGGUUAACGGCGUUAAGAAAGCAUCAAAAACACCUUGAGAAUCCGCUUUCGAUCUUUUUUACGUGCCAUAACUUUCCGCAGCCCGUUUGAGGGUCAAAACGGCUGAAUUUGAGCCCGAAAAAUUGCGCCCCCUAUUCACCGCCCAUUAUGGUUUCUGGGGCUUUCCGAAAUGGUGCUAUGGGCGACGUAGUUCCUCACGGUUCAAAAGUUAUGGGUUUUCAAGUUUAGACUCGUUUUAGGCUAAAAAAAAAUUAAAAAAUAAAAAGGGGUGCAACACGAGGACUUCCCGGGAGGUCACCCAUCCUAGUACUACUCUCGCCCAAGCACGCUUAACUGCGGAGUUCUGAUGGGAUCCGGUGCAUUAGUGCUGGUAUGAUCGCACCCGACAGUACAUCACUCUCGUUUCUAUAUAUCCUUUUCGCGGCCAAUCCAAGUGUAAGGCCGUGGGGCGCGCAUGAUUUUCUUGCCGUUUUGUUUCGAGCGAAAAAGUGCAUCGAGGUUAACGGCGUUAAGAAAGCAUCAAAAACACCUUGAGAAUCCGCUUUCGAUCUUUUUUACGUGCCAUAACUUUCCGCAGCCCGUUUGAGGGUCAAAACGGCUGAAUUUGAGCCCGAAAAAUUGCGCCCCCUAUUCACCGCCCAUUAUGGUUUCUGGGGCUUUCCGAAAUGGUGCUAUGGGCGACGUAGUUCCUCACGGUUCAAAAGUUAUGGGUUUUCAAGUUUAGACUCGUUUUAGGCUAAAAAAAAAUUAAAAAAUAAAAAGGGGUGCAACACGAGGACUUCCCGGGAGGUCACCCAUCCUAGUACUACUCUCGCCCAAGCACGCUUAACUGCGGAGUUCUGAUGGGAUCCGGUGCAUUAGUGCUGGUAUGAUCGCACCCGACAGUACAUCACUCUCGUUUCUAUAUAUCCUUUUCGCGGCCAAUCCAAGUGUAAGGCCGUGGGGCGCGCAUGAUUUUCUUGCCGUUUUGUUUCGAGCGAAAAAGUGCAUCGAGGUUAACGGCGUUAAGAAAGCAUCAAAAACACCUUGAGAAUCCGCUUUCGAUCUUUUUUACGUGCCAUAACUUUCCGCAGCCCGUUUGAGGGUCAAAACGGCUGAAUUUGAGCCCGAAAAAUUGCGCCCCCUAUUCACCGCCCAUUAUGGUUUCUGGGGCUUUCCGAAAUGGUGCUAUGGGCGACGUAGUUCCUCACGGUUCAAAAGUUAUGGGGUUUUCAAGUUUAGACUCGUUUUAGGCUAAAAAAAAAUUAAAAAAUAAAAAGGGGUGCAACACGAGGACUUCCCGGGAGGUCACCCAUCCUAGUACUACUCUCGCCCAAGCACGCUUAACUGCGGAGUUCUGAUGGGAUCCGGUGCAUUAGUGCUGGUAUGAUCGCACCCGACAGUACAUCACUCUCGUUUCUAUAUAUCCUUUUCGCGGCCAAUCCAAGUGUAAGGCCGUGGGGCGCGCAUGAUUUUCUUGCCGUUUUGUUUCGAGCGAAAAAGUGCAUCGAGGUUAACGGCGUUAAGAAAGCAUCAAAAACACCUUGAGAAUCCGCUUUCGAUCUUUUUUACGUGCCAUAACUUUCCGCAGCCCGUUUGAGGGUCAAAACGGCUGAAUUUGAGCCCGAAAAAUUGCGCCCCCUAUUCACCGCCCAUUAUGGUUUCUGGGGCUUUCCGAAAUGGUGCUAUGGGCGACGUAGUUCCUCACGGUUCAAAAGUUAUGGGUUUUCAAGUUUAGACUCGUUUUAGGCUAAAAAAAAAUUAAAAAAUAAAAAGGGGUGCAACACGAGGACUUCCCGGGAGGUCACCCAUCCUAGUACUACUCUCGCCCAAGCACGCUUAACUGCGGAGUUCUGAUGGGAUCCGGUGCAUUAGUGCUGGUAUGAUCGCACCCGACAGUACAUCACUCUCGUUUCUAUAUAUCCUUUUCGCGGCCAAUCCAAGUGUAAGGCCGUGGGGCGCGCAUGAUUUUCUUGCCGUUUUGUUUCGAGCGAAAAAGUGCAUCGAGGUUAACGGCGUUAAGAAAGCAUCAAAAACACCUUGAGAAUCCGCUUUCGAUCUUUUUUACGUGCCAUAACUUUCCGCAGCCCGUUUGAGGGUCAAAACGGCUGAAUUUGAGCCCGAAAAAUUGCGCCCCCUAUUCACCGCCCAUUAUGGUUUCUGGGGCUUUCCGAAAUGGUGCUAUGGGCGACGUAGUUCCUCACGGUUCAAAAGUUAUGGGUUUUCAAGUUUAGACUCGUUUUAGGCUAAAAAAAAAUUAAAAAAUAAAAAGGGGUGCAACACGAGGACUUCCCGGGAGGUCACCCAUCCUAGUACUACUCUCGCCCAAGCACGCUUAACUGCGGAGUUCUGAUGGGAUCCGGUGCAUUAGUGCUGGUAUGAUCGCACCCGACAGUACAUCACUCUCGUUUCUAUAUAUCCUUUUCGCGGCCAAUCCAAGUGUAAGGCCGUGGGGCGCGCAUGAUUUUCUUGCCGUUUUGUUUCGAGCGAAAAAGUGCAUCGAGGUUAACGGCGUUAAGAAAGCAUCAAAAACACCUUGAGAAUCCGCUUUCGAUCUUUUUUACGUGCCAUAACUUUCCGCAGCCCGUUUGAGGGUCAAAACGGCUGAAUUUGAGCCCGAAAAAUUGCGCCCCCUAUUCACCGCCCAUUAUGGUUUCUGGGGCUUUCCGAAAUGGUGCUAUGGGCGACGUAGUUCCUCACGGUUCAAAAGUUAUGGGUUUUCAAGUUUAGACUCGUUUUAGGCUAAAAAAAAAUUAAAAAAUAAAAAGGGGUGCAACACGAGGACUUCCCGGGAGGUCACCCAUCCUAGUACUACUCUCGCCCAAGCACGCUUAACUGCGGAGUUCUGAUGGGAUCCGGUGCAUUAGUGCUGGUAUGAUCGCACCCGACAGUACAUCACUCUCGUUUCUAUAUAUCCUUUUCGCGGCCAAUCCAAGUGUAAGGCCGUGGGGCGCGCAUGAUUUUCUUGCCGUUUUGUUUCGAGCGAAAAAGUGCAUCGAGGUUAACGGCGUUAAGAAAGCAUCAAAAACACCUUGAGAAUCCGCUUUCGAUCUUUUUUACGUGCCAUAACUUUCCGCAGCCCGUUUGAGGGUCAAAACGGCUGAAUUUGAGCCCGAAAAAUUGCGCCCCCUAUUCACCGCCCAUUAUGGUUUCUGGGGCUUUCCGAAAUGGUGCUAUGGGCGACGUAGUUCCUCACGGUUCAAAAGUUAUGGGUUUUCAAGUUUAGACUCGUUUUAGGCUAAAAAAAAAUUAAAAAAUAAAAAGGGGUGCAACACGAGGACUUCCCGGGAGGUCACCCAUCCUAGUACUACUCUCGCCCAAGCACGCUUAACUGCGGAGUUCUGAUGGGAUCCGGUGCAUUAGUGCUGGUAUGAUCGCACCCGACAGUACAUCACUCUCGUUUCUAUAUAUCCUUUUCGCGGCCAAUCCAAGUGUAAGGCCGUGGGGCGCGCAUGAUUUUCUUGCCGUUUUGUUUCGAGCGAAAAAGUGCAUCGAGGUUAACGGCGUUAAGAAAGCAUCAAAAACACCUUGAGAAUCCGCUUUCGAUCUUUUUUACGUGCCAUAACUUUCCGCAGCCCGUUUGAGGGUCAAAACGGCUGAAUUUGAGCCCGAAAAAUUGCGCCCCCUAUUCACCGCCCAUUAUGGUUUCUGGGGCUUUCCGAAAUGGUGCUAUGGGCGACGUAGUUCCUCACGGUUCAAAAGUUAUGGGGUUUUCAAGUUUAGACUCGUUUUAGGCUAAAAAAAAUUAAAAAAUAAAAAGGGGUGCAACACGAGGACUUCCCGGGAGGUCACCCAUCCUAGUACUACUCUCGCCCAAGCACGCUUAACUGCGGAGUUCUGAUGGGAUCCGGUGCAUUAGUGCUGGUAUGAUCGCACCCGACAGUACAUCACUCUCGUUUCUAUAUAUCCUUUUCGCGGCCAAUCCAAGUGUAAGGCCGUGGGGCGCGCAUGAUUUUCUUGCCGUUUUGUUUCGAGCGAAAAAGUGCAUCGAGGUUAACGGCGUUAAGAAAGCAUCAAAAACACCUUGAGAAUCCGCUUUCGAUCUUUUUUACGUGCCAUAACUUUCCGCAGCCCGUUUGAGGGUCAAAACGGCUGAAUUUGAGCCCGAAAAAUUGCGCCCCCUAUUCACCGCCCAUUAUGGUUUCUGGGGCUUUCCGAAAUGGUGCUAUGGGCGACGUAGUUCCUCACGGUUCAAAAGUUAUGGGUUUUCAAGUUUAGACUCGUUUUAGGCUAAAAAAAAAUUAAAAAAUAAAAAGGGGUGCAACACGAGGACUUCCCGGGAGGUCACCCAUCCUAGUACUACUCUCGCCCAAGCACGCUUAACUGCGGAGUUCUGAUGGGAUCCGGUGCAUUAGUGCUGGUAUGAUCGCACCCGACAGUACAUCACUCUCGUUUCUAUAUAUCCUUUUCGCGGCCAAUCCAAGUGUAAGGCCGUGGGGCGCGCAUGAUUUUCUUGCCGUUUUGUUUCGAGCGAAAAAGUGCAUCGAGGUUAACGGCGUUAAGAAAGCAUCAAAAACACCUUGAGAAUCCGCUUUCGAUCUUUUUUACGUGCCAUAACUUUCCGCAGCCCGUUUGAGGGUCAAAACGGCUGAAUUUGAGCCCGAAAAAUUGCGCCCCCUAUUCACCGCCCAUUAUGGUUUCUGGGGCUUUCCGAAAUGGUGCUAUGGGCGACGUAGUUCCUCACGGUUCAAAAGUUAUGGGGUUUUCAAGUUUAGACUCGUUUUAGGCUAAAAAAAAAUUAAAAAAUAAAAAGGGGUGCAACACGAGGACUUCCCGGGAGGUCACCCAUCCUAGUACUACUCUCGCCCAAGCACGCUUAACUGCGGAGUUCUGAUGGGAUCCGGUGCAUUAGUGCUGGUAUGAUCGCACCCGACAGUACAUCACUCUCGUUUCUAUAUAUCCUUUUCGCGGCCAAUCCAAGUGUAAGGCCGUGGGGCGCGCAUGAUUUUCUUGCCGUUUUGUUUCGAGCGAAAAAGUGCAUCGAGGUUAACGGCGUUAAGAAAGCAUCAAAAACACCUUGAGAAUCCGCUUUCGAUCUUUUUUACGUGCCAUAACUUUCCGCAGCCCGUUUGAGGGUCAAAACGGCUGAAUUUGAGCCCGAAAAAUUGCGCCCCCUAUUCACCGCCCAUUAUGGUUUCUGGGGCUUUCCGAAAUGGUGCUAUGGGCGACGUAGUUCCUCACGGUUCAAAAGUUAUGGGGUUUUCAAGUUUAGACUCGUUUUAGGCUAAAAAAAAAUUAAAAAAUAAAAAGGGGUGCAACACGAGGACUUCCCGGGAGGUCACCCAUCCUAGUACUACUCUCGCCCAAGCACGCUUAACUGCGGAGUUCUGAUGGGAUCCGGUGCAUUAGUGCUGGUAUGAUCGCACCCGACAGUACAUCACUCUCGUUUCUAUAUAUCCUUUUCGCGGCCAAUCCAAGUGUAAGGCCGUGGGGCGCGCAUGAUUUUCUUGCCGUUUUGUUUCGAGCGAAAAAGUGCAUCGAGGUUAACGGCGUUAAGAAAGCAUCAAAAACACCUUGAGAAUCCGCUUUCGAUCUUUUUUACGUGCCAUAACUUUCCGCAGCCCGUUUGAGGGUCAAAACGGCUGAAUUUGAGCCCGAAAAAUUGCGCCCCCUAUUCACCGCCCAUUAUGGUUUCUGGGGCUUUCCGAAAUGGUGCUAUGGGCGACGUAGUUCCUCACGGUUCAAAAGUUAUGGGUUUUCAAGUUUAGACUCGUUUUAGGCUAAAAAAAAAUUAAAAAAUAAAAAGGGGUGCAACACGAGGACUUCCCGGGAGGUCACCCAUCCUAGUACUACUCUCGCCCAAGCACGCUUAACUGCGGAGUUCUGAUGGGAUCCGGUGCAUUAGUGCUGGUAUGAUCGCACCCGACAGUACAUCACUCUCGUUUCUAUAUAUCCUUUUCGCGGCCAAUCCAAGUGUAAGGCCGUGGGGCGCGCAUGAUUUUCUUGCCGUUUUGUUUCGAGCGAAAAAGUGCAUCGAGGUUAACGGCGUUAAGAAAGCAUCAAAAACACCUUGAGAAUCCGCUUUCGAUCUUUUUUACGUGCCAUAACUUUCCGCAGCCCGUUUGAGGGUCAAAACGGCUGAAUUUGAGCCCGAAAAAUUGCGCCCCCUAUUCACCGCCCAUUAUGGUUUCUGGGGCUUUCCGAAAUGGUGCUAUGGGCGACGUAGUUCCUCACGGUUCAAAAGUUAUGGGGUUUUCAAGUUUAGACUCGUUUUAGGCUAAAAAAAAAUUAAAAAAUAAAAAGGGGUGCAACACGAGGACUUCCCGGGAGGUCACCCAUCCUAGUACUACUCUCGCCCAAGCACGCUUAACUGCGGAGUUCUGAUGGGAUCCGGUGCAUUAGUGCUGGUAUGAUCGCACCCGACAGUACAUCACUCUCGUUUCUAUAUAUCCUUUUCGCGGCCAAUCCAAGUGUAAGGCCGUGGGGCGCGCAUGAUUUUCUUGCCGUUUUGUUUCGAGCGAAAAAGUGCAUCGAGGUUAACGGCGUUAAGAAAGCAUCAAAAACACCUUGAGAAUCCGCUUUCGAUCUUUUUUACGUGCCAUAACUUUCCGCAGCCCGUUUGAGGGUCAAAACGGCUGAAUUUGAGCCCGAAAAAUUGCGCCCCCUAUUCACCGCCCAUUAUGGUUUCUGGGGCUUUCCGAAAUGGUGCUAUGGGCGACGUAGUUCCUCACGGUUCAAAAGUUAUGGGUUUUCAAGUUUAGACUCGUUUUAGGCUAAAAAAAAAUUAAAAAAUAAAAAGGGGUGCAACACGAGGACUUCCCGGGAGGUCACCCAUCCUAGUACUACUCUCGCCCAAGCACGCUUAACUGCGGAGUUCUGAUGGGAUCCGGUGCAUUAGUGCUGGUAUGAUCGCACCCGACAGUACAUCACUCUCGUUUCUAUAUAUCCUUUUCGCGGCCAAUCCAAGUGUAAGGCCGUGGGGCGCGCAUGAUUUUCUUGCCGUUUUGUUUCGAGCGAAAAAGUGCAUCGAGGUUAACGGCGUUAAGAAAGCAUCAAAAACACCUUGAGAAUCCGCUUUCGAUCUUUUUUACGUGCCAUAACUUUCCGCAGCCCGUUUGAGGGUCAAAACGGCUGAAUUUGAGCCCGAAAAAUUGCGCCCCCUAUUCACCGCCCAUUAUGGUUUCUGGGGCUUUCCGAAAUGGUGCUAUGGGCGACGUAGUUCCUCACGGUUCAAAAGUUAUGGGUUUUCAAGUUUAGACUCGUUUUAGGCUAAAAAAAAAUUAAAAAAUAAAAAGGGGUGCAACACGAGGACUUCCCGGGAGGUCACCCAUCCUAGUACUACUCUCGCCCAAGCACGCUUAACUGCGGAGUUCUGAUGGGAUCCGGUGCAUUAGUGCUGGUAUGAUCGCACCCGACAGUACAUCACUCUCGUUUCUAUAUAUCCUUUUCGCGGCCAAUCCAAGUGUAAGGCCGUGGGGCGCGCAUGAUUUUCUUGCCGUUUUGUUUCGAGCGAAAAAGUGCAUCGAGGUUAACGGCGUUAAGAAAGCAUCAAAAACACCUUGAGAAUCCGCUUUCGAUCUUUUUUACGUGCCAUAACUUUCCGCAGCCCGUUUGAGGGUCAAAACGGCUGAAUUUGAGCCCGAAAAAUUGCGCCCCCUAUUCACCGCCCAUUAUGGUUUCUGGGGCUUUCCGAAAUGGUGCUAUGGGCGACGUAGUUCCUCACGGUUCAAAAGUUAUGGGGUUUUCAAGUUUAGACUCGUUUUAGGCUAAAAAAAAAUUAAAAAAUAAAAAGGGGUGCAACACGAGGACUUCCCGGGAGGUCACCCAUCCUAGUACUACUCUCGCCCAAGCACGCUUAACUGCGGAGUUCUGAUGGGAUCCGGUGCAUUAGUGCUGGUAUGAUCGCACCCGACAGUACAUCACUCUCGUUUCUAUAUAUCCUUUUCGCGGCCAAUCCAAGUGUAAGGCCGUGGGGCGCGCAUGAUUUUCUUGCCGUUUUGUUUCGAGCGAAAAAGUGCAUCGAGGUUAACGGCGUUAAGAAAGCAUCAAAAACACCUUGAGAAUCCGCUUUCGAUCUUUUUUACGUGCCAUAACUUUCCGCAGCCCGUUUGAGGGUCAAAACGGCUGAAUUUGAGCCCGAAAAAUUGCGCCCCCUAUUCACCGCCCAUUAUGGUUUCUGGGGCUUUCCGAAAUGGUGCUAUGGGCGACGUAGUUCCUCACGGUUCAAAAGUUAUGGGGUUUUCAAGUUUAGACUCGUUUUAGGCUAAAAAAAAAUUAAAAAAUAAAAAGGGGUGCAACACGAGGACUUCCCGGGAGGUCACCCAUCCUAGUACUACUCUCGCCCAAGCACGCUUAACUGCGGAGUUCUGAUGGGAUCCGGUGCAUUAGUGCUGGUAUGAUCGCACCCGACAGUACAUCACUCUCGUUUCUAUAUAUCCUUUUCGCGGCCAAUCCAAGUGUAAGGCCGUGGGGCGCGCAUGAUUUUCUUGCCGUUUUGUUUCGAGCGAAAAAGUGCAUCGAGGUUAACGGCGUUAAGAAAGCAUCAAAAACACCUUGAGAAUCCGCUUUCGAUCUUUUUUACGUGCCAUAACUUUCCGCAGCCCGUUUGAGGGUCAAAACGGCUGAAUUUGAGCCCGAAAAAUUGCGCCCCCUAUUCACCGCCCAUUAUGGUUUCUGGGGCUUUCCGAAAUGGUGCUAUGGGCGACGUAGUUCCUCACGGUUCAAAAGUUAUGGGGUUUUCAAGUUUAGACUCGUUUUAGGCUAAAAAAAAAUUAAAAAAUAAAAAGGGGUGCAACACGAGGACUUCCCGGGAGGUCACCCAUCCUAGUACUACUCUCGCCCAAGCACGCUUAACUGCGGAGUUCUGAUGGGAUCCGGUGCAUUAGUGCUGGUAUGAUCGCACCCGACAGUACAUCACUCUCGUUUCUAUAUAUCCUUUUCGCGGCCAAUCCAAGUGUAAGGCCGUGGGGCGCGCAUGAUUUUCUUGCCGUUUUGUUUCGAGCGAAAAAGUGCAUCGAGGUUAACGGCGUUAAGAAAGCAUCAAAAACACCUUGAGAAUCCGCUUUCGAUCUUUUUUACGUGCCAUAACUUUCCGCAGCCCGUUUGAGGGUCAAAACGGCUGAAUUUGAGCCCGAAAAAUUGCGCCCCCUAUUCACCGCCCAUUAUGGUUUCUGGGGCUUUCCGAAAUGGUGCUAUGGGCGACGUAGUUCCUCACGGUUCAAAAGUUAUGGGGUUUUCAAGUUUAGACUCGUUUUAGGCUAAAAAAAAAUUAAAAAAUAAAAAGGGGUGCAACACGAGGACUUCCCGGGAGGUCACCCAUCCUAGUACUACUCUCGCCCAAGCACGCUUAACUGCGGAGUUCUGAUGGGAUCCGGUGCAUUAGUGCUGGUAUGAUCGCACCCGACAGUACAUCACUCUCGUUUCUAUAUAUCCUUUUCGCGGCCAAUCCAAGUGUAAGGCCGUGGGGCGCGCAUGAUUUUCUUGCCGUUUUGUUUCGAGCGAAAAAGUGCAUCGAGGUUAACGGCGUUAAGAAAGCAUCAAAAACACCUUGAGAAUCCGCUUUCGAUCUUUUUUACGUGCCAUAACUUUCCGCAGCCCGUUUGAGGGUCAAAACGGCUGAAUUUGAGCCCGAAAAAUUGCGCCCCCUAUUCACCGCCCAUUAUGGUUUCUGGGGCUUUCCGAAAUGGUGCUAUGGGCGACGUAGUUCCUCACGGUUCAAAAGUUAUGGGGUUUUCAAGUUUAGACUCGUUUUAGGCUAAAAAAAAAUUAAAAAAUAAAAAGGGGUGCAACACGAGGACUUCCCGGGAGGUCACCCAUCCUAGUACUACUCUCGCCCAAGCACGCUUAACUGCGGAGUUCUGAUGGGAUCCGGUGCAUUAGUGCUGGUAUGAUCGCACCCGACAGUACAUCACUCUCGUUUCUAUAUAUCCUUUUCGCGGCCAAUCCAAGUGUAAGGCCGUGGGGCGCGCAUGAUUUUCUUGCCGUUUUGUUUCGAGCGAAAAAGUGCAUCGAGGUUAACGGCGUUAAGAAAGCAUCAAAAACACCUUGAGAAUCCGCUUUCGAUCUUUUUUACGUGCCAUAACUUUCCGCAGCCCGUUUGAGGGUCAAAACGGCUGAAUUUGAGCCCGAAAAAUUGCGCCCCCUAUUCACCGCCCAUUAUGGUUUCUGGGGCUUUCCGAAAUGGUGCUAUGGGCGACGUAGUUCCUCACGGUUCAAAAGUUAUGGGUUUUCAAGUUUAGACUCGUUUUAGGCUAAAAAAAAUUAAAAAAUAAAAAGGGGUGCAACACGAGGACUUCCCGGGAGGUCACCCAUCCUAGUACUACUCUCGCCCAAGCACGCUUAACUGCGGAGUUCUGAUGGGAUCCGGUGCAUUAGUGCUGGUAUGAUCGCACCCGACAGUACAUCACUCUCGUUUCUAUAUAUCCUUUUCGCGGCCAAUCCAAGUGUAAGGCCGUGGGGCGCGCAUGAUUUUCUUGCCGUUUUGUUUCGAGCGAAAAAGUGCAUCGAGGUUAACGGCGUUAAGAAAGCAUCAAAAACACCUUGAGAAUCCGCUUUCGAUCUUUUUUACGUGCCAUAACUUUCCGCAGCCCGUUUGAGGGUCAAAACGGCUGAAUUUGAGCCCGAAAAAUUGCGCCCCCUAUUCACCGCCCAUUAUGGUUUCUGGGGCUUUCCGAAAUGGUGCUAUGGGCGACGUAGUUCCUCACGGUUCAAAAGUUAUGGGGUUUUCAAGUUUAGACUCGUUUUAGGCUAAAAAAAAAUUAAAAAAUAAAAAGGGGUGCAACACGAGGACUUCCCGGGAGGUCACCCAUCCUAGUACUACUCUCGCCCAAGCACGCUUAACUGCGGAGUUCUGAUGGGAUCCGGUGCAUUAGUGCUGGUAUGAUCGCACCCGACAGUACAUCACUCUCGUUUCUAUAUAUCCUUUUCGCGGCCAAUCCAAGUGUAAGGCCGUGGGGCGCGCAUGAUUUUCUUGCCGUUUUGUUUCGAGCGAAAAAGUGCAUCGAGGUUAACGGCGUUAAGAAAGCAUCAAAAACACCUUGAGAAUCCGCUUUCGAUCUUUUUUACGUGCCAUAACUUUCCGCAGCCCGUUUGAGGGUCAAAACGGCUGAAUUUGAGCCCGAAAAAUUGCGCCCCCUAUUCACCGCCCAUUAUGGUUUCUGGGGCUUUCCGAAAUGGUGCUAUGGGCGACGUAGUUCCUCACGGUUCAAAAGUUAUGGGGUUUUCAAGUUUAGACUCGUUUUAGGCUAAAAAAAAUUAAAAAAUAAAAAGGGGUGCAACACGAGGACUUCCCGGGAGGUCACCCAUCCUAGUACUACUCUCGCCCAAGCACGCUUAACUGCGGAGUUCUGAUGGGAUCCGGUGCAUUAGUGCUGGUAUGAUCGCACCCGACAGUACAUCACUCUCGUUUCUAUAUAUCCUUUUCGCGGCCAAUCCAAGUGUAAGGCCGUGGGGCGCGCAUGAUUUUCUUGCCGUUUUGUUUCGAGCGAAAAAGUGCAUCGAGGUUAACGGCGUUAAGAAAGCAUCAAAAACACCUUGAGAAUCCGCUUUCGAUCUUUUUUACGUGCCAUAACUUUCCGCAGCCCGUUUGAGGGUCAAAACGGCUGAAUUUGAGCCCGAAAAAUUGCGCCCCCUAUUCACCGCCCAUUAUGGUUUCUGGGGCUUUCCGAAAUGGUGCUAUGGGCGACGUAGUUCCUCACGGUUCAAAAGUUAUGGGGUUUUCAAGUUUAGACUCGUUUUAGGCUAAAAAAAAAUUAAAAAAUAAAAAGGGGUGCAACACGAGGACUUCCCGGGAGGUCACCCAUCCUAGUACUACUCUCGCCCAAGCACGCUUAACUGCGGAGUUCUGAUGGGAUCCGGUGCAUUAGUGCUGGUAUGAUCGCACCCGACAGUACAUCACUCUCGUUUCUAUAUAUCCUUUUCGCGGCCAAUCCAAGUGUAAGGCCGUGGGGCGCGCAUGAUUUUCUUGCCGUUUUGUUUCGAGCGAAAAAGUGCAUCGAGGUUAACGGCGUUAAGAAAGCAUCAAAAACACCUUGAGAAUCCGCUUUCGAUCUUUUUUACGUGCCAUAAUUUUCCGCAGCCCGUUUGAGGGUCAAAACGGCUGAAUUUGAGCCCGAAAAAUUGCGCCCCCUAUUCACCGCCCAUUAUGGUUUCUGGGGCUUUCCGAAAUGGUGCUAUGGGCGACGUAGUUCCUCACGGUUCAAAAGUUAUGGGGUUUUCAUGUUUAGACUCGUUUUAGGGGUGCAACACGAGGACUUCCCGGGAGGUCACCCAUCCUAGUACUACUCUCGCCCAAGCACGCUUAACUGCGGAGUUCUGAUGGGAUCCGGUGCAUUAGUGCUGGUAUGAUCGCACCCGACAGUACAUCACUCUCGUUUCUAUAUAUCCUUUUCGCGGCCAAUCCAAGUGUAAGGCCGUGGGGCGCGCAUGAUUUUCUUGCCGUUUUGUUUCGAGCGAAAAAGUGCAUCGAGGUUAACGGCGUUAAGAAAGCAUCAAAAACACCUUGAGAAUCCGCUUUCGAUCUUUUUUACGUGCCAUAACUUUCCGCAGCCCGUUUGAGGGUCAAAACGGCUGAAUUUGAGCCCGAAAAAUUGCGCCCCCUAUUCACCGCCCAUUAUGGUUUCUGGGGCUUUCCGAAAUGGUGCUAUGGGCGACGUAGUUCCUCACGGUUCAAAAGUUAUGGGGUUUUCAAGUUUAGACUCGUUUUAGGCUAAAAAAAAAUUAAAAAAUAAAAAGGGGUGCAACACGAGGACUUCCCGGGAGGUCACCCAUCCUAGUACUACUCUCGCCCAAGCACGCUUAACUGCGGAGUUCUGAUGGGAUCCGGUGCAUUAGUGCUGGUAUGAUCGCACCCGACAGUACAUCACUCUCGUUUCUAUAUAUCCUUUUCGCGGCCAAUCCAAGUGUAAGGCCGUGGGGCGCGCAUGAUUUUCUUGCCGUUUUGUUUCGAGCGAAAAAGUGCAUCGAGGUUAACGGCGUUAAGAAAGCAUCAAAAACACCUUGAGAAUCCGCUUUCGAUCUUUUUUACGUGCCAUAACUUUCCGCAGCCCGUUUGAGGGUCAAAACGGCUGAAUUUGAGCCCGAAAAAUUGCGCCCCCUAUUCACCGCCCAUUAUGGUUUCUGGGGCUUUCCGAAAUGGUGCUAUGGGCGACGUAGUUCCUCACGGUUCAAAAGUUAUGGGGUUUUCAAGUUUAGACUCGUUUUAGGCUAAAAAAAAAUUAAAAAAUAAAAAGGGGUGCAACACGAGGACUUCCCGGGAGGUCACCCAUCCUAGUACUACUCUCGCCCAAGCACGCUUAACUGCGGAGUUCUGAUGGGAUCCGGUGCAUUAGUGCUGGUAUGAUCGCACCCGACAGUACAUCACUCUCGUUUCUAUAUAUCCUUUUCGCGGCCAAUCCAAGUGUAAGGCCGUGGGGCGCGCAUGAUUUUCUUGCCGUUUUGUUUCGAGCGAAAAAGUGCAUCGAGGUUAACGGCGUUAAGAAAGCAUCAAAAACACCUUGAGAAUCCGCUUUCGAUCUUUUUUACGUGCCAUAACUUUCCGCAGCCCGUUUGAGGGUCAAAACGGCUGAAUUUGAGCCCGAAAAAUUGCGCCCCCUAUUCACCGCCCAUUAUGGUUUCUGGGGCUUUCCGAAAUGGUGCUAUGGGCGACGUAGUUCCUCACGGUUCAAAAGUUAUGGGGUUUUCAAGUUUAGACUCGUUUUAGGCUAAAAAAAAAUUAAAAAAUAAAAAGGGGUGCAACACGAGGACUUCCCGGGAGGUCACCCAUCCUAGUACUACUCUCGCCCAAGCACGCUUAACUGCGGAGUUCUGAUGGGAUCCGGUGCAUUAGUGCUGGUAUGAUCGCACCCGACAGUACAUCACUCUCGUUUCUAUAUAUCCUUUUCGCGGCCAAUCCAAGUGUAAGGCCGUGGGGCGCGCAUGAUUUUCUUGCCGUUUUGUUUCGAGCGAAAAAGUGCAUCGAGGUUAACGGCGUUAAGAAAGCAUCAAAAACACCUUGAGAAUCCGCUUUCGAUCUUUUUUACGUGCCAUAACUUUCCGCAGCCCGUUUGAGGGUCAAAACGGCUGAAUUUGAGCCCGAAAAAUUGCGCCCCCUAUUCACCGCCCAUUAUGGUUUCUGGGGCUUUCCGAAAUGGUGCUAUGGGCGACGUAGUUCCUCACGGUUCAAAAGUUAUGGGGUUUUCAAGUUUAGACUCGUUUUAGGCUAAAAAAAAUUAAAAAAUAAAAAGGGGUGCAACACGAGGACUUCCCGGGAGGUCACCCAUCCUAGUACUACUCUCGCCCAAGCACGCUUAACUGCGGAGUUCUGAUGGGAUCCGGUGCAUUAGUGCUGGUAUGAUCGCACCCGACAGUACAUCACUCUCGUUUCUAUAUAUCCUUUUCGCGGCCAAUCCAAGUGUAAGGCCGUGGGGCGCGCAUGAUUUUCUUGCCGUUUUGUUUCGAGCGAAAAAGUGCAUCGAGGUUAACGGCGUUAAGAAAGCAUCAAAAACACCUUGAGAAUCCGCUUUCGAUCUUUUUUACGUGCCAUAACUUUCCGCAGCCCGUUUGAGGGUCAAAACGGCUGAAUUUGAGCCCGAAAAAUUGCGCCCCCUAUUCACCGCCCAUUAUGGUUUCUGGGGCUUUCCGAAAUGGUGCUAUGGGCGACGUAGUUCCUCACGGUUCAAAAGUUAUGGGGUUUUCAAGUUUAGACUCGUUUUAGGCUAAAAAAAAUUAAAAAAUAAAAAGGGGUGCAACACGAGGACUUCCCGGGAGGUCACCCAUCCUAGUACUACUCUCGCCCAAGCACGCUUAACUGCGGAGUUCUGAUGGGAUCCGGUGCAUUAGUGCUGGUAUGAUCGCACCCGACAGUACAUCACUCUCGUUUCUAUAUAUCCUUUUCGCGGCCAAUCCAAGUGUAAGGCCGUGGGGCGCGCAUGAUUUUCUUGCCGUUUUGUUUCGAGCGAAAAAGUGCAUCGAGGUUAACGGCGUUAAGAAAGCAUCAAAAACACCUUGAGAAUCCGCUUUCGAUCUUUUUUACGUGCCAUAACUUUCCGCAGCCCGUUUGAGGGUCAAAACGGCUGAAUUUGAGCCCGAAAAAUUGCGCCCCCUAUUCACCGCCCAUUAUGGUUUCUGGGGCUUUCCGAAAUGGUGCUAUGGGCGACGUAGUUCCUCACGGUUCAAAAGUUAUGGGGUUUUCAAGUUUAGACUCGUUUUAGGCUAAAAAAAAAUUAAAAAAUAAAAAGGGGUGCAACACGAGGACUUCCCGGGAGGUCACCCAUCCUAGUACUACUCUCGCCCAAGCACGCUUAACUGCGGAGUUCUGAUGGGAUCCGGUGCAUUAGUGCUGGUAUGAUCGCACCCGACAGUACAUCACUCUCGUUUCUAUAUAUCCUUUUCGCGGCCAAUCCAAGUGUAAGGCCGUGGGGCGCGCAUGAUUUUCUUGCCGUUUUGUUUCGAGCGAAAAAGUGCAUCGAGGUUAACGGCGUUAAGAAAGCAUCAAAAACACCUUGAGAAUCCGCUUUCGAUCUUUUUUACGUGCCAUAACUUUCCGCAGCCCGUUUGAGGGUCAAAACGGCUGAAUUUGAGCCCGAAAAAUUGCGCCCCCUAUUCACCGCCCAUUAUGGUUUCUGGGGCUUUCCGAAAUGGUGCUAUGGGCGACGUAGUUCCUCACGGUUCAAAAGUUAUGGGGUUUUCAAGUUUAGACUCGUUUUAGGCUAAAAAAAAAUUAAAAAAUAAAAAGGGGUGCAACACGAGGACUUCCCGGGAGGUCACCCAUCCUAGUACUACUCUCGCCCAAGCACGCUUAACUGCGGAGUUCUGAUGGGAUCCGGUGCAUUAGUGCUGGUAUGAUCGCACCCGACAGUACAUCACUCUCGUUUCUAUAUAUCCUUUUCGCGGCCAAUCCAAGUGUAAGGCCGUGGGGCGCGCAUGAUUUUCUUGCCGUUUUGUUUCGAGCGAAAAAGUGCAUCGAGGUUAACGGCGUUAAGAAAGCAUCAAAAACACCUUGAGAAUCCGCUUUCGAUCUUUUUUACGUGCCAUAACUUUCCGCAGCCCGUUUGAGGGUCAAAACGGCUGAAUUUGAGCCCGAAAAAUUGCGCCCCCUAUUCACCGCCCAUUAUGGUUUCUGGGGCUUUCCGAAAUGGUGCUAUGGGCGACGUAGUUCCUCACGGUUCAAAAGUUAUGGGGUUUUCAAGUUUAGACUCGUUUUAGGCUAAAAAAAAAUUAAAAAAUAAAAAGGGGUGCAACACGAGGACUUCCCGGGAGGUCACCCAUCCUAGUACUACUCUCGCCCAAGCACGCUUAACUGCGGAGUUCUGAUGGGAUCCGGUGCAUUAGUGCUGGUAUGAUCGCACCCGACAGUACAUCACUCUCGUUUCUAUAUAUCCUUUUCGCGGCCAAUCCAAGUGUAAGGCCGUGGGGCGCGCAUGAUUUUCUUGCCGUUUUGUUUCGAGCGAAAAAGUGCAUCGAGGUUAACGGCGUUAAGAAAGCAUCAAAAACACCUUGAGAAUCCGCUUUCGAUCUUUUUUACGUGCCAUAACUUUCCGCAGCCCGUUUGAGGGUCAAAACGGCUGAAUUUGAGCCCGAAAAAUUGCGCCCCCUAUUCACCGCCCAUUAUGGUUUCUGGGGCUUUCCGAAAUGGUGCUAUGGGCGACGUAGUUCCUCACGGUUCAAAAGUUAUGGGGUUUUCAAGUUUAGACUCGUUUUAGGCUAAAAAAAAAUUAAAAAAUAAAAAGGGGUGCAACACGAGGACUUCCCGGGAGGUCACCCAUCCUAGUACUACUCUCGCCCAAGCACGCUUAACUGCGGAGUUCUGAUGGGAUCCGGUGCAUUAGUGCUGGUAUGAUCGCACCCGACAGUACAUCACUCUCGUUUCUAUAUAUCCUUUUCGCGGCCAAUCCAAGUGUAAGGCCGUGGGGCGCGCAUGAUUUUCUUGCCGUUUUGUUUCGAGCGAAAAAGUGCAUCGAGGUUAACGGCGUUAAGAAAGCAUCAAAAACACCUUGAGAAUCCGCUUUCGAUCUUUUUUACGUGCCAUAACUUUCCGCAGCCCGUUUGAGGGUCAAAACGGCUGAAUUUGAGCCCGAAAAAUUGCGCCCCCUAUUCACCGCCCAUUAUGGUUUCUGGGGCUUUCCGAAAUGGUGCUAUGGGCGACGUAGUUCCUCACGGUUCAAAAGUUAUGGGGUUUUCAAGUUUAGACUCGUUUUAGGCUAAAAAAAAAUUAAAAAAUAAAAAGGGGUGCAACACGAGGACUUCCCGGGAGGUCACCCAUCCUAGUACUACUCUCGCCCAAGCACGCUUAACUGCGGAGUUCUGAUGGGAUCCGGUGCAUUAGUGCUGGUAUGAUCGCACCCGACAGUACAUCACUCUCGUUUCUAUAUAUCCUUUUCGCGGCCAAUCCAAGUGUAAGGCCGUGGGGCGCGCAUGAUUUUCUUGCCGUUUUGUUUCGAGCGAAAAAGUGCAUCGAGGUUAACGGCGUUAAGAAAGCAUCAAAAACACCUUGAGAAUCCGCUUUCGAUCUUUUUUACGUGCCAUAACUUUCCGCAGCCCGUUUGAGGGUCAAAACGGCUGAAUUUGAGCCCGAAAAAUUGCGCCCCCUAUUCACCGCCCAUUAUGGUUUCUGGGGCUUUCCGAAAUGGUGCUAUGGGCGACGUAGUUCCUCACGGUUCAAAAGUUAUGGGGUUUUCAAGUUUAGACUCGUUUUAGGCUAAAAAAAAAUUAAAAAAUAAAAAGGGGUGCAACACGAGGACUUCCCGGGAGGUCACCCAUCCUAGUACUACUCUCGCCCAAGCACGCUUAACUGCGGAGUUCUGAUGGGAUCCGGUGCAUUAGUGCUGGUAUGAUCGCACCCGACAGUACAUCACUCUCGUUUCUAUAUAUCCUUUUCGCGGCCAAUCCAAGUGUAAGGCCGUGGGGCGCGCAUGAUUUUCUUGCCGUUUUGUUUCGAGCGAAAAAGUGCAUCGAGGUUAACGGCGUUAAGAAAGCAUCAAAAACACCUUGAGAAUCCGCUUUCGAUCUUUUUUACGUGCCAUAACUUUCCGCAGCCCGUUUGAGGGUCAAAACGGCUGAAUUUGAGCCCGAAAAAUUGCGCCCCCUAUUCACCGCCCAUUAUGGUUUCUGGGGCUUUCCGAAAUGGUGCUAUGGGCGACGUAGUUCCUCACGGUUCAAAAGUUAUGGGGUUUUCAAGUUUAGACUCGUUUUAGGCUAAAAAAAAAUUAAAAAAUAAAAAGGGGUGCAACACGAGGACUUCCCGGGAGGUCACCCAUCCUAGUACUACUCUCGCCCAAGCACGCUUAACUGCGGAGUUCUGAUGGGAUCCGGUGCAUUAGUGCUGGUAUGAUCGCACCCGACAGUACAUCACUCUCGUUUCUAUAUAUCCUUUUCGCGGCCAAUCCAAGUGUAAGGCCGUGGGGCGCGCAUGAUUUUCUUGCCGUUUUGUUUCGAGCGAAAAAGUGCAUCGAGGUUAACGGCGUUAAGAAAGCAUCAAAAACACCUUGAGAAUCCGCUUUCGAUCUUUUUUACGUGCCAUAACUUUCCGCAGCCCGUUUGAGGGUCAAAACGGCUGAAUUUGAGCCCGAAAAAUUGCGCCCCCUAUUCACCGCCCAUUAUGGUUUCUGGGGCUUUCCGAAAUGGUGCUAUGGGCGACGUAGUUCCUCACGGUUCAAAAGUUAUGGGUUUUCAAGUUUAGACUCGUUUUAGGCUAAAAAAAAAUUAAAAAAUAAAAAGGGGUGCAACACGAGGACUUCCCGGGAGGUCACCCAUCCUAGUACUACUCUCGCCCAAGCACGCUUAACUGCGGAGUUCUGAUGGGAUCCGGUGCAUUAGUGCUGGUAUGAUCGCACCCGACAGUACAUCACUCUCGUUUCUAUAUAUCCUUUUCGCGGCCAAUCCAAGUGUAAGGCCGUGGGGCGCGCAUGAUUUUCUUGCCGUUUUGUUUCGAGCGAAAAAGUGCAUCGAGGUUAACGGCGUUAAGAAAGCAUCAAAAACACCUUGAGAAUCCGCUUUCGAUCUUUUUUACGUGCCAUAACUUUCCGCAGCCCGUUUGAGGGUCAAAACGGCUGAAUUUGAGCCCGAAAAAUUGCGCCCCCUAUUCACCGCCCAUUAUGGUUUCUGGGGCUUUCCGAAAUGGUGCUAUGGGCGACGUAGUUCCUCACGGUUCAAAAGUUAUGGGGUUUUCAAGUUUAGACUCGUUUUAGGCUAAAAAAAAAUUAAAAAAUAAAAAGGGGUGCAACACGAGGACUUCCCGGGAGGUCACCCAUCCUAGUACUACUCUCGCCCAAGCACGCUUAACUGCGGAGUUCUGAUGGGAUCCGGUGCAUUAGUGCUGGUAUGAUCGCACCCGACAGUACAUCACUCUCGUUUCUAUAUAUCCUUUUCGCGGCCAAUCCAAGUGUAAGGCCGUGGGGCGCGCAUGAUUUUCUUGCCGUUUUGUUUCGAGCGAAAAAGUGCAUCGAGGUUAACGGCGUUAAGAAAGCAUCAAAAACACCUUGAGAAUCCGCUUUCGAUCUUUUUUACGUGCCAUAACUUUCCGCAGCCCGUUUGAGGGUCAAAACGGCUGAAUUUGAGCCCGAAAAAUUGCGCCCCCUAUUCACCGCCCAUUAUGGUUUCUGGGGCUUUCCGAAAUGGUGCUAUGGGCGACGUAGUUCCUCACGGUUCAAAAGUUAUGGGGUUUUCAAGUUUAGACUCGUUUUAGGCUAAAAAAAAAUUAAAAAAUAAAAAGGGGUGCAACACGAGGACUUCCCGGGAGGUCACCCAUCCUAGUACUACUCUCGCCCAAGCACGCUUAACUGCGGAGUUCUGAUGGGAUCCGGUGCAUUAGUGCUGGUAUGAUCGCACCCGACAGUACAUCACUCUCGUUUCUAUAUAUCCUUUUCGCGGCCAAUCCAAGUGUAAGGCCGUGGGGCGCGCAUGAUUUUCUUGCCGUUUUGUUUCGAGCGAAAAAGUGCAUCGAGGUUAACGGCGUUAAGAAAGCAUCAAAAACACCUUGAGAAUCCGCUUUCGAUCUUUUUUACGUGCCAUAACUUUCCGCAGCCCGUUUGAGGGUCAAAACGGCUGAAUUUGAGCCCGAAAAAUUGCGCCCCCUAUUCACCGCCCAUUAUGGUUUCUGGGGCUUUCCGAAAUGGUGCUAUGGGCGACGUAGUUCCUCACGGUUCAAAAGUUAUGGGGUUUUCAAGUUUAGACUCGUUUUAGGCUAAAAAAAAAUUAAAAAAUAAAAAGGGGUGCAACACGAGGACUUCCCGGGAGGUCACCCAUCCUAGUACUACUCUCGCCCAAGCACGCUUAACUGCGGAGUUCUGAUGGGAUCCGGUGCAUUAGUGCUGGUAUGAUCGCACCCGACAGUACAUCACUCUCGUUUCUAUAUAUCCUUUUCGCGGCCAAUCCAAGUGUAAGGCCGUGGGGCGCGCAUGAUUUUCUUGCCGUUUUGUUUCGAGCGAAAAAGUGCAUCGAGGUUAACGGCGUUAAGAAAGCAUCAAAAACACCUUGAGAAUCCGCUUUCGAUCUUUUUUACGUGCCAUAACUUUCCGCAGCCCGUUUGAGGGUCAAAACGGCUGAAUUUGAGCCCGAAAAAUUGCGCCCCCUAUUCACCGCCCAUUAUGGUUUCUGGGGCUUUCCGAAAUGGUGCUAUGGGCGACGUAGUUCCUCACGGUUCAAAAGUUAUGGGGUUUUCAAGUUUAGACUCGUUUUAGGCUAAAAAAAAAUUAAAAAAUAAAAAGGGGUGCAACACGAGGACUUCCCGGGAGGUCACCCAUCCUAGUACUACUCUCGCCCAAGCACGCUUAACUGCGGAGUUCUGAUGGGAUCCGGUGCAUUAGUGCUGGUAUGAUCGCACCCGACAGUACAUCACUCUCGUUUCUAUAUAUCCUUUUCGCGGCCAAUCCAAGUGUAAGGCCGUGGGGCGCGCAUGAUUUUCUUGCCGUUUUGUUUCGAGCGAAAAAGUGCAUCGAGGUUAACGGCGUUAAGAAAGCAUCAAAAACACCUUGAGAAUCCGCUUUCGAUCUUUUUUACGUGCCAUAACUUUCCGCAGCCCGUUUGAGGGUCAAAACGGCUGAAUUUGAGCCCGAAAAAUUGCGCCCCCUAUUCACCGCCCAUUAUGGUUUCUGGGGCUUUCCGAAAUGGUGCUAUGGGCGACGUAGUUCCUCACGGUUCAAAAGUUAUGGGGUUUUCAAGUUUAGACUCGUUUUAGGCUAAAAAAAAUUAAAAAAUAAAAAGGGGUGCAACACGAGGACUUCCCGGGAGGUCACCCAUCCUAGUACUACUCUCGCCCAAGCACGCUUAACUGCGGAGUUCUGAUGGGAUCCGGUGCAUUAGUGCUGGUAUGAUCGCACCCGACAGUACAUCACUCUCGUUUCUAUAUAUCCUUUUCGCGGCCAAUCCAAGUGUAAGGCCGUGGGGCGCGCAUGAUUUUCUUGCCGUUUUGUUUCGAGCGAAAAAGUGCAUCGAGGUUAACGGCGUUAAGAAAGCAUCAAAAACACCUUGAGAAUCCGCUUUCGAUCUUUUUUACGUGCCAUAACUUUCCGCAGCCCGUUUGAGGGUCAAAACGGCUGAAUUUGAGCCCGAAAAAUUGCGCCCCCUAUUCACCGCCCAUUAUGGUUUCUGGGGCUUUCCGAAAUGGUGCUAUGGGCGACGUAGUUCCUCACGGUUCAAAAGUUAUGGGGUUUUCAAGUUUAGACUCGUUUUAGGCUAAAAAAAAAUUAAAAAAUAAAAAGGGGUGCAACACGAGGACUUCCCGGGAGGUCACCCAUCCUAGUACUACUCUCGCCCAAGCACGCUUAACUGCGGAGUUCUGAUGGGAUCCGGUGCAUUAGUGCUGGUAUGAUCGCACCCGACAGUACAUCACUCUCGUUUCUAUAUAUCCUUUUCGCGGCCAAUCCAAGUGUAAGGCCGUGGGGCGCGCAUGAUUUUCUUGCCGUUUUGUUUCGAGCGAAAAAGUGCAUCGAGGUUAACGGCGUUAAGAAAGCAUCAAAAACACCUUGAGAAUCCGCUUUCGAUCUUUUUUACGUGCCAUAACUUUCCGCAGCCCGUUUGAGGGUCAAAACGGCUGAAUUUGAGCCCGAAAAAUUGCGCCCCCUAUUCACCGCCCAUUAUGGUUUCUGGGGCUUUCCGAAAUGGUGCUAUGGGCGACGUAGUUCCUCACGGUUCAAAAGUUAUGGGGUUUUCAAGUUUAGACUCGUUUUAGGCUAAAAAAAAAUUAAAAAAUAAAAAGGGGUGCAACACGAGGACUUCCCGGGAGGUCACCCAUCCUAGUACUACUCUCGCCCAAGCACGCUUAACUGCGGAGUUCUGAUGGGAUCCGGUGCAUUAGUGCUGGUAUGAUCGCACCCGACAGUACAUCACUCUCGUUUCUAUAUAUCCUUUUCGCGGCCAAUCCAAGUGUAAGGCCGUGGGGCGCGCAUGAUUUUCUUGCCGUUUUGUUUCGAGCGAAAAAGUGCAUCGAGGUUAACGGCGUUAAGAAAGCAUCAAAAACACCUUGAGAAUCCGCUUUCGAUCUUUUUUACGUGCCAUAACUUUCCGCAGCCCGUUUGAGGGUCAAAACGGCUGAAUUUGAGCCCGAAAAAUUGCGCCCCCUAUUCACCGCCCAUUAUGGUUUCUGGGGCUUUCCGAAAUGGUGCUAUGGGCGACGUAGUUCCUCACGGUUCAAAAGUUAUGGGUUUUCAAGUUUAGACUCGUUUUAGGCUAAAAAAAAAUUAAAAAAUAAAAAGGGGUGCAACACGAGGACUUCCCGGGAGGUCACCCAUCCUAGUACUACUCUCGCCCAAGCACGCUUAACUGCGGAGUUCUGAUGGGAUCCGGUGCAUUAGUGCUGGUAUGAUCGCACCCGACAGUACAUCACUCUCGUUUCUAUAUAUCCUUUUCGCGGCCAAUCCAAGUGUAAGGCCGUGGGGCGCGCAUGAUUUUCUUGCCGUUUUGUUUCGAGCGAAAAAGUGCAUCGAGGUUAACGGCGUUAAGAAAGCAUCAAAAACACCUUGAGAAUCCGCUUUCGAUCUUUUUUACGUGCCAUAACUUUCCGCAGCCCGUUUGAGGGUCAAAACGGCUGAAUUUGAGCCCGAAAAAUUGCGCCCCCUAUUCACCGCCCAUUAUGGUUUCUGGGGCUUUCCGAAAUGGUGCUAUGGGCGACGUAGUUCCUCACGGUUCAAAAGUUAUGGGUUUUCAAGUUUAGACUCGUUUUAGGCUAAAAAAAAUUAAAAAAUAAAAAGGGGUGCAACACGAGGACUUCCCGGGAGGUCACCCAUCCUAGUACUACUCUCGCCCAAGCACGCUUAACUGCGGAGUUCUGAUGGGAUCCGGUGCAUUAGUGCUGGUAUGAUCGCACCCGACAGUACAUCACUCUCGUUUCUAUAUAUCCUUUUCGCGGCCAAUCCAAGUGUAAGGCCGUGGGGCGCGCAUGAUUUUCUUGCCGUUUUGUUUCGAGCGAAAAAGUGCAUCGAGGUUAACGGCGUUAAGAAAGCAUCAAAAACACCUUGAGAAUCCGCUUUCGAUCUUUUUUACGUGCCAUAACUUUCCGCAGCCCGUUUGAGGGUCAAAACGGCUGAAUUUGAGCCCGAAAAAUUGCGCCCCCUAUUCACCGCCCAUUAUGGUUUCUGGGGCUCUCCGAAAUGGUGCCAUGGGCGACGUAGUUCCUCACGGUUCAAAAGUUAUGGGGUUUUCAAGUUUAGACUCGUUUUAGGCUAAAAAAAAAUUAAAAAAAAAAAGGGGUGCAACACGAGGACUUCCCGGGAGGUCACCCAUCCUAGUACUACUCUCGCCCAAGCACGCUUCACUGCGGAGUUCUGAUGGGAUCCGGUGCAUUAGUGCUGGUAUGAUCGCACCCGACAGUACAUCACUCUCGUUUCUAUAUAUCCUUUUCGCGGCCAAUCCAAGUGUAAGG
rnacentral:lncRNA from 1 species